rnacentral:lncRNA from 1 species
AAUUAUCAUACUGUCCAACGUACAUUUCAAAACAAAUUAUUUUUCUUGGCUUACACACAAAACAAUGACUAGAGUUCAAAUUUUAAAGGAAGAGAAACAUUCAUUUCACUAUAAUUACUCAUUGACAGAUACAAACACAAUGCAUGGAUCCUUGAAAAAUAACUUGGUCCAUAUGGGUCCGCCCCUUCGUCCAAAGCUUUGUUUUUUUUUUUCCGCUAUCAAAUAGAUUAUAAAAGGAGUAUAAAAGGAAGCUAAUCUGAAUUGGAAUCAGGAAAACCGGCUUAUCCCGAGUGGUCGCGCAGCUGCACCUCAACCAGCAGGUUGGGGAUAAGACUCCUAGGGGUGGGUUUUUUUCCUCCAUGAAAUCGUGCAGUAGAGCGCGCGCAAGAUGCAGAUUAGAUGCAAACCGCGCCAUUCGGAUCUAAACACCAAAUCGGAACAUUCAGAAAAUACAAAAAUAGUUUAUUAAAAGAGAAUGUUGACGACAGAGAUAUGUAGAAGUGUAAAAGAAUGAUGUACAAGAGACUAUGAGUUUUUCUAUGUGUUCACACAGAGAUGGGGUGAAAUAUGCUGCAGGGGAAGUGCCUUUAAGACAUGUGAAGGUCAUGGAGAAAUUAAUAAGAUGCACCGAUCAGAUGUGGCAGCAUGGUUUCUGAAGAAACUAUGAACACAUGCAAAAGUUACAAUAUCAUUUUCCAGUGGCACAUCAUUAUUUGUACUCCCAACGUCACGGUUUAGAAGGCACAGUUAAAUUUACGUGCAUUUUCAUAAUGGACAAGGUUUAAGGCGCGUUGCAUUUACUCCUAGCAGCUAAGUAGUAAUUCGUUGUACUAUUUCUAUAUGCAUGCGUAGUGUGAAUGCUAUUUUCCAGCCCAUCUCACAGCAAAUCAAUAACCACCUAGGUUUCAUAGAAUUUCCAAACACGCCUUCUAAACCGUGAUGGAGGUAGUAACAAAAACAGAAAGACCCAGAAAUAAAUUGUAUUUUAGCUACAGCAAAACGCAAAUGAAAAAUGAAAACGUUUUUGUCAAUCCCUAGUGCAAAACGGAUGCUAGUUGUAUUUGGUAAUAUUCCUAAAUGCACAUAACAUUUUGAUGUUUUUUAACCGAAACAUAAACAUACAAAUUAGAUAUGUCUCUGUAAGGAACAAUUUGUAAGGAUUGCUCGUCUCAUUCCUGAACUGCAAAUAAUCCUUUGCGAAGUUUCUGGUCCAAAAUUUGGUCCAGUAUUAUGUAACACAUGAUCAUGACAUGAAUCAAUGACAAAUACAUCUUUUCCAGUUGUCUAACUACAAAAAAUCAAGCAUGAUCACUUUCUCUACCGACCCUAUCACCAUUGUGUAUUGCACUUAAUGAAGCUAAUUAAUCUACUUAAUCUACUCUCAUAUUAAUUUAGGCAAGUAAACCUGUCCCUGAUCCCUUUCCUCUCGGGGCAUCAAAUGUCUGGACCAUUAGUUUUUUAGAUUUAGCUAUUUCUGACCGUUAGAUGUACAUGGCGCUCUGUUUCCUGUAAAAUCAUGACAACAAGGUGGGCUUGAUGUGUUGAGGGAAGCUAUUGCCGUACCUUUUUGGAGUACUAUGGUUAAUAGCGCCAACGUUGAAAGCAACUGUAUGGACCUUCAGGAUUGUGCCUUCAUGAGCCCAUUUCCUAUGUACAUACUGGGCAACCAAAGCCAUCGAGGCGAUGGUGGUUAGCGCAUCUAGCGGAUAGGAAAGCACAGCCAGGAGAGGCCGAACACCACAACGCGUCUCUCACUCGAAACUAACAUAUGAUUACGUUCAGCCAUCUGCAUAUGCUUUCUGGUGCCACUAUAUAUUUGCUUCCCGAGAUUAUCCAGGUGACAAGAAAAUCAGGUCACUACAAGAAAUAUGCUCAUAUGUGAUGUUUUUUAAAAUGUCGUUGAUGAAUUCGUCAUAAAUCUAUGACGAUUUCAUCCGAGAUCGUCGUAAACCGUUUGAGAGGAUCAAAUCUACAUAUAAAUUACGACGAUGUGAGUCAAAACGUCGUAACCGCAUAAGAUGAGAUCGUCAUAACUUUUACGACGAUUGUAAAAAUGUCGUAACAUGUUCUAACUAUGUUGACAUGUCACUCGUGGGUCCAUUCUAUCCCACCUGAUCCUAGUUUGUGAAGCAACCUACUAUUCUAUCAUUUCAAAAAUUCUCAAAAAAUUCUCAUAAAUACUUUGGACUAUAUAUUCCUCAAAUAUGUGAAAACCCUCCCUUCCAUAGUUCAAAAAUAAUUCAAAAAUAUUCAUUUUCCUAUUCUGUUAAGAAUAGCACUUUGUGAAGGAAGUGUUAUUUCUAUUUCUUUGAUUACCCUCAUAUUGUUUGGGCCCUCUUUCCUAUCCAAAUCAUUGCCUCAUGAAAACUUUUGUAACGAUUUGCCUAGUAAAUCUUUCUCAACAAAUUUCCAAAGUUUGUGUUCAGCUAACAGCUUUGUGAAGGAAGUACUAGAUAGGAAUAUCCUGAUGAGUUGAAUUUUUUCCACAUCAUCUAUGUGCCCAAAACGUAGCUCUCCAUAAAAUUUUAGCCACAUCUAACAAUUCAUGUGAGCUCAUCAUCCAAUCUUUGUUUUUGGUAAUAUUUUCAUUUUGUGAAGCAACUAUGUUUUAUAUUGCUUUAUAGUUGAUGAAAAAAUUACCACGGAUGAUACUGACCAUAUAACCUUACUGCACCAAAUUUUAGCUCAUUUAAUUCAGCCAGUUUCUCUCAAUAUUUUUCCCAAUAUUCUAUUCAGUAGAGAGCAUUGUGAAGGAAGUACAAUUUUUGUUUAUUCAAAUUUUAUGAUUUUUUACAGUACCUUAAUGUGCCCAAAUUAUCAUCCUCCUCCAAAUUUAAGCUCAAUCCAAUCAUCUAUUUGAGCCCAGUUUUAAUUAACAUUUUCUGUCCAGAUUGGCACAUUGUGAAGGAAGUGUCACUUUGGCAUGUCCAAAUGGUAUAAUUUUUAUACAGUGCCUUCAUAUGCCCAAAUUAACAUCAUACACCAAAUUUCAGGUCAAUCCAUUCAUUCAUUUGAUCCUAGCUUCAACAUCCAUAUUUCUGCACAAUGUGUUACUUUGCAAAGCAAGUGCCACCUAGAUUCAUCCAUUUGAGAUAAAAAUUUGCCAAGAGAGUCUCCUUAGUAGAUGAUCAUCCUCAGCCAAAAUUUAGGCCCAUUGUCUAUGUGAAUUACCCGCACCGCUAAUCAAACACUUGGUUGCUAAUUCAUGUUUGUGCUUAGUUCAGUCUCCUCAUGAGAUUAUUCUAUUGUAUUAUUCUUGCUAACACCUAUCGAGGGAUUGUCCAACCCACCAGACAUGACUAUUCCACCUAGAACAUGUGGCAAUGCAAUGGUUAGGCGGUGACCAUGCGACUGGCAUGCAAGUUCACGCACUCUGGAGUUGGGGCCCUCGACCAUCAUGCAAACCUCGACGUCAAGGCACCACACCAUGUAUUUAUGAUUAAAUAGAUACUUAUAUGCCUAUAAAUGAUUUUUGGGAAAAAUAAAGAGCAAACUAUAAUGCAGCUGUAGUUCAAAUUUGACCCGCUUCCAGCUGAAUCAACAUAAAUUUGUCUUUUUCACGAGAGGUGGAUAAAAUCUUUUAACACCCAACCAUUUUGUCAAUUGUACAUUAAAUAUGGACUAGUAUUUUAUAAAAAUGAUUUGAUCCAAUUUUAAAACAAAUAUAUGGUAGGUCCUUCACAAAACAACUCAUUUUGAUCACUUGAAAAAUGGAAAAUGAAUUUUAAUGAAAACUUCCUUGAUCAACAUUGUUUGCCAUUCCGAUAUGCACCCUUGUGCAUAAUAUUAUAUCAUUUUAACAAACUAUGUCAUGAAUGUGGCUAUAAGAUUGAUCAUUUGGCUUGAAAGUCAUGAAUCUUCACACAUGAUAGCUCAUUUCUAAGAAUACUUGUUUAAAAUAAUUAUCGUAUUACAAGUUUAUUAUUUUUCCCGGUAACUUUGUCACACAUAAUGACACAAUGCAAUGGUUUUCCAUUUUUUUGAAUUUGUUUUGAAUUUUUCAUGGCCAUUUCAAAACGCGGUCAAAAUAGCGGGUAUGACCGUUCAUAUCUAGUGGUUGAAUCUUGGAAAUGUUUUGAUGUUUCUAUGAUUAAAUAGAUACUUGUGUACCUAUAAAUUGUUUUUAGCAAAAAUAUAGAGCAAACUAUAAUGUAGAUGCAGUUCAAAUUUGACCCGCUUUCAACUCAUUCAACGAAAAUUUGUCUUUUUUAGGAGAGAUCGAUAAAAGCCUUUAACACCCAACCAUUUUGUCAAUUAUACAUUAAAUAUGGCCUAGUAUUUUAGAAAAAUGAUUUGAUCCAAUUUUGAAACAAAUAUAUGGUAGGUACUUCACAAAAAAACUCAUUUUGGUCACUUGAAAAAUGGAAAAUGAUUUUUCAUACAAGGAAAAUGAAAACUUCCUUAAUCAACAUUGUUUGCCAUUCUAAUAUGCACCAUUGUGCAUAAUAUUAUAUCAUUUCAACAAACUAUGUCAUAAAUGUGGCCAUAAAAUUGAUCAUUUGGCUUGAAAGCCAUGAAUCUUCACACAUGAUAGCCCAUUUCUAAGAACAAUUAUUUAAAAUAAUUGUCGUAUUACUAGUUUAUUAUUUUUCCUGGUAACUUUGUUACAUACAAUGACACAAUGCAAUGGUUUUCCAUUUUUUUGAAUUUGUUUUGAAUUUUUCAUGGCCAUUUUCCAUUUAAUAUCACACUCCCUCUGUUCCUAAAUAUAAGUCUUGUAACUAUGCGUGUGCAAAUGCACGGGUCUACGACUAGUAGAUUAUAAUUAUGAAUCGGACAUUCUAAAAUUGGUUAAAAUCCUAUAUAUUUAAAACAUAAAUAAUAAUAAUGAUAACUAAUAAAAAAAUAAUAGAAAAAAGUAUUUAAAAAAAGAAAAAGAAAAAGAUCCCCUGACCCAACUGGGCCAAGUGGCCGAGCUGACCAUCUACCGUCCCGGCCCAUAACCACCCUCGGGCUAACCCUAGCCGACCCGUUCACCCUCCCCACUCCACCCCUCCACUCCCCCCACGCGCAGCAGUCCGCGCCCACCCCCCCCCCCCACGCGCCGCCGCCGCUAGGGUUUCUCACCCUCGCCGCCUCCCUCGCAGGAGGAGCCCGAAUCUCCAGCAGCAGCCAUGAGCGACGACAAGGACACCCUCGACCUCUCCGCCCUUGGCGCCGCCGUCCCCAACGCCGCAGGUUUCUGUGGUGGUGGUUCGAUGCAGAGCUCAGCGCCGAGGACAAGGUCAACCUCGUCGAUUAAGGACAAGGCCACUAAUUUCCAUUUCCCUCGUCGGCAGCGUUGGUGGCGGGAGCGCUCCGGCGAGGAAGGGCGGGCGCCGGAGGCGCGGCCGAGAGGGCGCUGCGUAGGCUCGUGAGUCCCCUUUCCCUUUUCCUCUCGCUACGACGCACGCGCUUGAUUCGAUUCGAUUCGAUUCCGAGGUAGAGCCUCGUCCUCGUCGGAGAUCCGGCAACCUGGAUGAUGAAGGACGCACCGGUAAAGUGUUAGUGGUGGUAGCAAGCCGGACCAUCCCGCCGACCACAGCGAGGCGAGCGGAGGAUGGGCGAACCAACUCUGUCUCUCUAUCUGUCUUGGUGUGCUCUCUCUUCUCUUGGACAGAUUCAGUUCCAUGCCUGCCUGCUACUAGUAUCUCUCUACUGCACUCCAGAGUAACAUGUGAAUGCUAAUUAAAUAAAAAGAAGAGGAAUUUGCCUACUCCUUGAUCCUGGAAAGAUCUUCCACACGCCAAUGGGAAUCAGCAGAGUCAUGUUCAGUGGCCGUGGAGUUCAUUCCACGCCUUGGACCGGAUUCAGGAUGUUGCCUCCUCGCCUGUGCUGUACUAUGCUACGUUCAGCUCCUUAUNNNNNNNNNNNNNNNNNNNNNNNNNNNNNNNNNNNNNNNNNNNNNNNNNNNNNNNNNNNNNNNNNNNNNNNNNNNNNNNNNNNNNNNNNNNNNNNNNNNNCUCUGGACCUGCCAUUCUUGUAUAGGGCCCUCUAAGUGUGGGUCCCACCUUGUCAGGCACCGUCUCCUUGUCGCCAUGGUUCUACAUACCUAUCUCUUGAUGCACACUGAUGCUGCCAUCCUUCCAGUUGCAACAUGAAUCUUUAUGCAAUCAUGCAUGCUAGCUCGCUCACUGUUUGAAGUUCUCAGAUGAAUCAACUAGAACAAUAGCAUCACAUCUGCUGUUUCCCGGCCUUGNNNNNNNNNNNNNNNNNNNNNNNNNNNNNNNNNNNNNNNNNNNNNNNNNNNNNNNNNNNNNNNNNNNNNNNNNNNNNNNNNNNNNNNNNNNNNNNNNNNNNNNNNNNNNNNNNNNNNNNNNNNNNNNNNNNNNNNNNNNNNNNNNNNNNNNNNNNNNNNNNNNNNNNNNNNNNNNNNNNNNNNNNNNNNNNNNNNNNNNNNNNNNNNNNNNNNNNNNNNNNNNNNNNNNNNNNNNNNNNNNNNNNNNNNNNNNNNNNNNNNNNNNNNNNNNNNNNNNNNNNNNNNNNNNNNNNNNNNNNNNNNNNNNNNNNNNNNNNNNNNNNNNNNUCGGCUUUUUCUUGUAUAUAUGCUCAUGUCAAGAUGCGUUAGUAUAUGUAGGAGAGAGGCAGUGGUGAUGCCACAUCAAUGCUUUUUAUCACAAUAAACAUCCAUACCGAAAUCUAUAUAUGUAUUACUAAAACUAAAAUACGGAUCAAGAUAGAGGAAUAUGCUAGAAAAUCCCACAACAAUAAGAAUAUGUCUCUUGGAAACUUUCAUUCAGGCAAGCAGUUAUUUCAGUACAGAAAAAAAAUGUGUUCAAUAGAUGUUGUCCAAUUCAUUAAGGGCAAUAAAAUUGGACCCUUUCUAAGCCUUUUAAAAUUAGACCAUCGGAUCGCACGUCUCAGUCACCAUGUAAGGCAGUUUUUCUUAGGCAUGGGCUGAUACUGGGCCGGUUCCGUUUGUCCUUGGGCAGAUAUUCCUAUAGCCAAAUCCAAAGCCCAUCACGUUUCACUUGUUCAUCAUUUGAAGUUCACGGAUGAAUCAACAAGAACAACAACANNNNNNNNNNNNNNNNNNNNNNNNNNNNNNNNNNNNNNNNNNNNNNNNNNNNNNNNNNNNNNNNNNNNNNNNNNNNNNNNNNNNNNNNNNNNNNNNNNNNNNNNNNNNNNNNNNNNNNNNNNNNNNNNNNNNNNNNNNNNNNNNNNNNNNNNNNNNNNNNNNNNNNNNNNNNNNNNNNNNNNNNNNNNNNNNNNNNNNNNNNNNNNNNNNNNNNNNNNNNNNNNNNNNNNAUGCCUCCUAGUCAUAUGUGUUUGCCAUACCCGUAUGUAUAUAUGCGUGCGGCAUGCUUGGCUUUUUCUUGUAUGCUCGUGUCAAGAUGGGAUAGUAUAUAUAGGAGAGACGCAGUGGUGAUGCCACAUCAAUGCUUUUUAUCACAUUAAACAUCCAUACCGAAAUGUAUCUAUGUGUAGAGCCAUAUACAUGCUAAAACAACCAGACCAAAGUCAACCACGGUGGCUUUUUAUCACAUUAAACAUAGUAAAACAAAAGUACGGAUCAAGGUAGAGGAAUAUGCUAGAAAAUCCCACAAUAAUAAGAAUAUUUCUGUUGGAAAUUUUCAUUCAGGCGAGCAGUUAUUUCAAUAUAGAAAAAAAAUGUUUUCAAUAGAUGUUGUCGAAUUCAUAGAUUGCAUGAUUGACUUCUGGGUUAACUAAUUGUGCUACUGAACAAUUAGGAGAAACAGAAAGAGAGUGUGGCCGGCCGUGCCGUGGUUAGCUACCUAACGUGCUGAUGCUCGGGUCCUGCUCCUUUUCAGGAUGCCGCUCUCAGCGAUGGCAACGGCAGCGACUACGUACACCACCAACAACAGCUACCAGCCCGCCACUAUCCCCACUAAUUAACGCCUCAUCCUACCCUCAGCAAUUUGCCGCCAACAGCUCUGGGCUCUGGCCAAGCACCCGAUGUUGUGCCCGCACUUGCGCUCUGCCGUGGCGACAUCGCUAAUAACACGACAUGUAAGGAUUGUGUUGGCGCCUCCUUCCGGCACGCUCAGCAGACGUGUCACAAUAAUGAGGCUGCCACUGUCUACAACAACUAUGGUGCCAUAAGGCUGGUCAUAGUGGGAGUAACUAAGGUAGUAUCAUGUACUUGGGACUAGCAAACAUGUUGAUUUGACAGACAAUUAAAGAAGAAAGAUAGAGUUAGAGUAACAUAGGUAGAUACUGUAACAUGUUAAAUACUAUGCUACUAUGUGUUAUGCAUGUUAAUAAAUAAGGUCAUCUAUGAUACUACUUUAUGAUAUUAUGCACUAUGAACGUAGUAUCAUACAAUAGUAUCAUAUGCAUGACACUACUAUAUGAUACUCCCCAUUAUGAUGAGACUAAACAACUAGCGAUCGGUCUACGAGAAUGGUACACUCUUCGAGGCUUGGAAUCCGGGAAACAUCUCCUACCAUCACCGCCGCAGACAUCCACAACCCGCUGAAUGUGACUGCCCAGGACGUGGCCACCAACAGCGCGAGACGGUACUCCCUAGCNNNNNNNNNNNNNNNNNNNNNNNNNNNNNNNNNNNNNNNNNNNNNNNNNNNNNNNNNNNNNNNNNNNNNNNNNNNNNNNNNNNNNNNNNNNNNNNNNNNNGGGGAAGCCCAUAGGCAUUGAGGGUGGCGCACCAGCCCUUAGUGGGCUGGUGGGACAGCCGAAAAGAGCCCUAUGCGCAUUGGAAGAAAAAUGAAAGAGAAAAGGAAAAAAAAAGAAGGAGGUGGGAAAGGGAAAAGGACUCCACCUUCCAAACCAAGUAGAAUUCGGUUUGGGAGGGGGAGACCUUCCCCCUUAGGUUCGGCCGACCCCUUGGGAGUCCUUGGACCCCAAGGCAAGGCUUCCCCCUCCUCCUCCUAUAUAUAGUGGGGUUUUAGGGCUGAUUUGAGACAACUUUUGCCACGGCAACCCGACCACAUAUCUCCACGGUUUUACCUCUAGAUCACGUUUCUGCGGAGCUCGGGCGGAGCCCUGCCGAGACAAGAUCAUCACCAACCUCCGGAGCGCCGUCAUGCUGCCGGAGAACUCUUCUACCUCUCCGUCUCUCUUGCUGGAUCAAGAAGGCCGAGAUCAUCGUCGAGCUGUACGUGUGCUGAACGCGGAGGUGCCGUCCGUUCGGCACUAGAUCGUGGGACUGAUCGCGGGACGCUUUGCGGGGCAGAUCGAGGGACGUGAGGACGUUCCACUACAUCAACCGCGUUCUAACGCUUCUGUUGUACGGUCUACAAGGGUACGUAGAUCACACAUCCCCUCUCGUAGAUGGACAUCACCAUGAUAGGUCUUCGUGCGCGUAGGAAAAGUUUUGUUUCCCAUGCGACGUUUCCCAACACCUAGACUGGAACAACAAAUGGCGAAGUACAUGUCAUUUUCAAACUUCAUGUUUCUCUCCCGUCUGAAGAAGAUGUGUCGUUUAUGUUUGUCAUUCGCGAAGACUGUCGGGCACGUGGAAGAUGAUGUAUUAUACAGUGGAGUUUCAUCGUACCAAGAGGGCACUUCCCAAUGUCUCCUAUUCCCAUUUUGCACUCGUAUUGUGGUCAGAUUUUCUAGAAAUGAUAGAGCCGGUAAAUCUCCUGAACCAUGGAAAGAAGAUAGACAGUCGAACGGUUCACAUUUACAUGUGAAUUCUCAACCAUAUAUGAUGUGUUUGGUAGGAAUCAAUUUCACGAAAAGGCAGUCUCCAAAUAUAAUGGUGGAAUCCAAUGCUAUAAAUAAUGGUUUUAAUUGCUGAUUUAUAGGGUCAAUUACUUAUCUUCGAGGUGGUGCCACAAAAUCUUGUAAUUUUUUUAUCAUUUGUGACUUGCACAUAGUGUUUAUAUCUGGUUUACUAUUUAGCAGAGCUGGCAAAUAUUUAACUUUCCAAAGAAAUUUGCACAAAGAUCUGUCAUUUUAAUAUUUAUAUAUUUUCAUUGUUUGCAAUUUAGUUUACCUUUUUUGAACAAUAGGAGGCUGCCUAUAUUAUGUAAGAGAAAGAAGUCUUUACUCGACCAAGAGUAAGAGAAACAUUGAGGAAGGACACAUCAACAACCCUUGUGUAGGAAAUGAAUUAACAAUAAUGAAGCAUUAAAAUACUAUGUAAUUUUUUAUCCUAAAAGAAAACAACCGACACUAUGCUCCAAUUGCAUUAUUAACAUUUCUAGGGUGUAGUUACCAUACCAUUUUCCAGUUUUUAAUUUGAUAUAUUAUAAUGCUCUACAAGAUUUGGGGAAGAUACUUAGCUAUGUGAGACGCCAUCAACCCUGCAGUAUCAAAAACUAUAUAAUAUUGUACAAUGUAAAGUUGCUUUCGUAUGGCAAAACUAGGAUCCGUCCCCACAAAUAUUUAGUUUGGGCAGGUACUGGUGGGUGAACGGUGGGAUAGAUCACCACAUCUUGUGCGUAAGUUGAUGCAGGUAUACCUCUCUCUUGAGCCAGAUACACCGCACUAGAUGCUAUCUAUCUCACACAUAUUCUUAGUUAAUUCUGUGUCUAUAUAUUUGAUAAACAUUGGUCCGAUCCCAAAGUCGGUUCAUAUGAAGAUAAUUAAGGUGCCAUAAAAAAUAAAGGUCUUUAUGUGGUUCGUGCACAAGGAAGUGAUCUUGACCAAGGACAACUUGCCAAACAUAAAUUGGUGGAUAGCAAAUGGUGUUGUUUUUCUGAUAAAGAAGGAUCAAUACAACAUGUUUCUCCCAAAUGCACACUAGCCAAGUUAUUGUGGUAUACUCCCUCCGUUUCUAAAUAUAAGUCUUUUUUAGAGAUUCCAUUAGUGGACUAUAUACGGAUGUAUAUAGACAUACUUUAGAAUAUAGAUUCACUCAUUUUGUUCCGUAUGUAGACUACUAGUGAAAUCUCUUAAAAGACUUAUAUUUAGGAACGGAGGGAGUACAAUAUAUUUGUCUUUUAUAUGUCCGUCCUCCUAACAACAUCUAUAGUCUAUUUCAAAAAUGGUUGAAUUGGAUAGAGCCUAAUAAAAUUGCACAUAUUCGAGUCGGAAUGUGUAUUACUUUGGGAUAUUUUGAAUUGUCAGAAUGAUGUUAUUUUUAGCCGAAAAAAACAUCACAAUAUUUUUGCAAGUCCUCUUCACGGCGUCUGGAUUGAUACAUAUGUGGUCGUUUGUCCGCCGUACGGAAGUCAGGGAGCAUAUAGCCUAUGGAUGCAAUCGCUGGGAGAUAGUUGCACAUAAUACAUUCAACCGGUUUGGCUGACAAUUAAAUAAUAGGACUGGUUUUUAGUCAUAUGGUCCUAUUUUACCGGUUGUGGCCUUUUAUUCUAUUCAUUUGAGCUUGUUUGCCAACAUGUGUUGAACUGUGUACUUCGAUGCUCUUUUGGUUAAUAAAAUGACUGUGUGCAUCACUAGAUACACGAGCCGGGGAUGAUUCUUCUCUUCCGGAAAAAAUAAACCAUGAAACAUAAUUUGUGACAGUCAAAAUGAUGUAUAUAGAUAAGUAGGUGUAGACCACUUUAGUAUAUGUAGGCAGAAAGCAUAUCAAUACAAAGUAAUUUGUUUUUUCCUGUACAUAACCUACAUUGUGCUAAUAUUCUAGGUAUGCUAAUUUUUCUUUUUCAUUUGCACGUGUGAUAUAUAUAGUGUUCAUCCUGUUGAAUAGUUUGUCUCUAUUUUAUUGGUCAUGUCUAUUAAACCGAACUAUUGAUGUCAUGUCUUCAUUCCCUUUAAAUAAUGUUUUCCGUGAAAACAAAGUAUCCUUUCAUGGUAGGCUUGUAAAGUUGCAACUGCCUAUUUCUACCAACCCCGCCUCCUGAUUUUGACAGUGUUGUAUGAGCAUAUGUGAAGUAAAGUAUAUCAUGUGUCCUUAACUAUGAGGUCUCUACGGUGAUUUCGUCUACCUCAUUAUUCGUCAUCUCAAUCUCUCAAAAGUCCUCAUAGGGACCAUGUGUGUGUGUGUGUGUGCGUGUGCGUGUGCGUGUGUGUGUUUAAGCGUCCGUUUCCGAUUUGUAUUCAUGUAUUACCAAAGGGCUAGUUUCGAGUAGUCCACAUUAAUCAUGCACGCAGAUUCCCUCCACCAUAUCACUUGAUGGACAUUGCUAUCUGCAUGAGUUAGCAUGUAGUAGUUAUUCAUCUCAAUAAGUAUAACAUGGCAAUAAAAUUUAAGCAAGCUCACACACUAAAGAUAUUUGGUAAAAUGUAUAGCUGCAUCAAUGCCCUAUAUAUUCAUUCGACCAAACUAAUAUCUUGGCUUCUCGAUGCUUUCCUCUGUUUUCAAUGGAAAAUAUGCACAAACAGAAGACAUAUGAACAUGCAAUCUCGUCUAAGCUAGAUCCAAACGGGAUACUAAUUAGCAAGGGUUGAAAGACAUGUUACUUCAUAGUCAUUUCAUAGCUAUCGUAUCCGAAAAAAAUCAAGAUAAAAAAGAAUAAAAAACAAAUGAUUGCAAAUUUAAAACAAUCUAAGCAACAAAAAAUAUUUCAUCAAGAUCAUUAGCUGUCAAUUUACAUGAUUAUAGCAAACAACGAUUCCCCUAAUUCGAAUGUGGCAUCUAUGUUACCAAUUCUCUUCCAAUAUUUAUUCACCAAAGGUUACCAAACAUGUCUAGCGAAAAUGUCCUAGUGCGAUAAAGAUUGGUCUAGAUGCACGCCGAGAUCACAGUACAAGUAGAGAUAGUGAAGGGCUACUUUGGUCCACUAGGCAAUAAUCCUCUCUCUCUCUCCUGGUCUCUUCUAUUCGGAAAUACCUCUUCUGACGUUCUACUUUUCUUACCGUCUUGUAAUUUCUAAGGAUAUUUCUACCGGUAAGGAUCCGAUGGAGUAACGCUAGUGGAGUAAAAAGUUACUCUACUAACAGUGGCCGCACCUAGCCGCCCCCCUAUACUUAGUAGAGUAAAAAUAAAAUUGUGUAUGUUUGGUGUCCUAGCCGCAUGAACUUUAAGCACGAUACACUAUAUAUAUUAAAACAUUCAAAUAAAACACAUGAAUAACAUAACCGUCAUAAUAUAUUGUUUCAUCACCGCGUUUUCCGAAUUAAACCAUGCAAAUUUCACCCAAAAUAACAUCUCUUCAAACACAAUGUUUGAUCCAAAAUCACCACAAACAUGGCAUGUAUAUGUUGUGAAUUGAUCCAACCAAUGGCAUGCACAAACUCAAACGAGGUGCUCAGCUAAGAAAAAAAAUCAUUGUCACCAACACCAUCAUCCUCUCGGCCACCUCCUCCAUCUCGCCCACCACCAUCACCACCGCCAGCUCCUCGACCAUCACCAUUACCACCAUCACCUCCUCGGCCCUUGUUUGCUCUGUUUGAACCGUUGCAUCCAUGGAGAUUGCACACCAAGCAUCACAAAGAGCAAUAUCUUCUUUUUGAUUGUGGUUGGCUGUGCGUGACCUUGAUGUCCAUGUGCUUUCUUCGGUCACAUUCACAACCUCCUCUUAAUCAUCGCCCACCUCCUCUGCUUCCCAGGCCACCUCCUCCUUUUGCUCCAUGGCUUGGGCCGCUUUCGAAUGUUGCCAAAUGUUGUCAUAGUUGAGCUCAUCAAAUCCCAUCGUGGCCAAGGAAUCCAAAGACGCGAAGAACUCAGUCGUGUUCAUCUCCAUAGUACAACAACAAAACAAAGAAAGUAUGUCACCAUCGGCUACAAAAAAUUACCUUGUAUUCAUUUCAUCAAUAACUUGGCGCCUGCGGCCCUUGUUGCAGCGACGGUGGUUUUGAGCGAUGGUGGCUGGCAUGGGCGCGUGUUCAUAGCGGGCAUGGGCGCGUGUGUGGUUUUCAACGACGGUGGCUGGCAUGGGCGCGUGUUCAUAGCGGGCAUGGGCGUGUGUGUGGUUUUCAGCAAUGGUGGCUGGCAGUGUGUGGGAAGAGACUAGGCUAUCCAUUCCUGCCAGAGGGAGGGUCAUCGUUUGGCAACGGCAGGGCGUGGUGGCUGCGGCCGCGAGAGCACAUAUGGGAGAAAGAGAGGCACCUUUGUUACUCGGCCGCUACCGAGGUGAGUAUAUUUAGGGAAAUUGCAGUGGAUAAUGGGGGUUGUAGGAUAAUUUGAACUCCACAAUACCGGUAAGGGGAUAGGCUAGGAACACCGUAAGAGAGGAAAACCGAAUUUAUCCUUCCUUAAGGCCUCAUUGGGGAUCGGUUAGAAAUGCGCUUAGCUGCUUAGUAGAUGGGAAGCACUAAGAUCCUCCAUAGCGGCCACCUUGGAAUCCUUCAUCGUCUUCGGCCCGGUCAAGAAAAUGAACCGGCGCUCGACCUCCUCUGACCCGAGGUCAUCACUUGACACCCGUGCCUGGUGCUCCCGCCUAGAGUAGUUGUACAUUGAGCAAUUGGGACUGGAAGUUUACGGUAUGAAUGGUGGUUAAGGGAACCGGCGGUUGAUCGCCAACGAAGUGUUUGAUGCCACCCGAUGUGCUGUCAGAGAAGAGGUCCGGUAUAGAAAACUUAUAUAGACUGGUUUAACUACUCUCGAGUCUGCGCACACACCUUAUCCAGGCCACUGGCAAGUGGGUGUUGCAUCUUCGAGAUCUGAACUCUUCUCUGUUAUACAAGAAUGUUUUGCGGACGAAUUAAACUGUGAAAACGGCAGGAACAAGCCAAAAAUGUAAAUCCUGAUGGCAGAUUCCCAUGGAGUACAUGCUGUCAUCAUGUCAGUAGGCUGUCAACCCAAUAUACUAGUAGGCCAGCACCCUUUCACAUCUCAGCUGCCGCUGCUCAAGGAUUAAGAAGACUACACUCUGCGACAAUCUUGCACUCCUUUCCUUUCUAAAUAUAAGGUUUUCCAUAGAUUUUAAUAUAGACUACAUACGGAUGUAUAUUGACAUACUUUAGAGUAUAGAUUUACUUAUUUUGCUUCAUACGUAGUUCAUAUUGAAUUCUCUACAAGGACUUAUAUUUAGAAAUGGAAGAAGUACAUUUGUUUUCUUCUUUAAAUGUAGAGUAUUGCAACCAUUGACUUUUCGGUGCAAGCCAUGUCACCUGAAAGUGCGAACGUCUACAGUAUUGAUCCUCGAGGCUAGACUUACACAGAGUUUACAAACAAGCCGAAUUGUCUAACUGCCUCAGGUAUACACAAGUCAACUACUCCUAAAAGUUAGCACGACCCAUUGUGGGCUGUUGAACGUGCAACGAAACUAGUGGGUGUGUGCUUGGAGUUUUCUGAAGACCAGUUCCAAGAAUGGCCACACUCUGCAUGUGUGUUAGUCGGCGCUUCUGGGCUUGCAAGCCAUUGUAAGCCAUCUCGCGAGACAUGGUGACUUGGUGAGCUAAGAUCGAACGAACUUUCGUAUCUAGGCAAGCCCGGCAAUGACCGGCUCGUAAUUUUAAGAGCUCAACCGAGCGAAGCCUCCAGAAGUAUCGGCACGACUCAUUUGCACUCUUAGUUCCUGCCCGGUGUCUCUCAUCCUCAAUUUUUCAUAUUAUCUUGCAUGUUACUGAUGUUGGUCCAUGCAAAUAUAAGUUACGAGGUGAUUAAGACUCAAGGAGCCAGCAUCGUGAAGUGUGAGGAGAGCCACUCCAUAAACCACUAGGUCACGGCUCGUCUAGUUUUUGCUCCUUGUGUGUGAUAUAUAUUUGAUAGGAGAAGAAAAUAGUGUCUCGAGCUUCAGCUAGUGACUUCUGUUAUUUUCAUGAGCCUCAACACUAUUAGGGGGUGGGCAUUUCUACUGCUAGUCUACUACACAUUGACUUUGUCUCCUCACCAGGUAUCACGUUAUUGCAGGGUAUCGAUUUUAUUUUGAUGGUUGAAUAGGCAAUGCCCUUUUCUUGGUGGAACACGGAAUAUACAUGCCGUGUGUUAUUUGACAAUAUUGCUCUUUAUGUGAAGGAUUUAUGCAUGUUGCAUUUGUUUCUCAAUAUUUUUAUUUUGCAUGCAUAGCAUGCUAUCGUUCUAUGCAGAGGAGUCAUGUGUGCGUUGUGUGUGGUUUUAUUUUUCUUCAACCACAUUUUCAAUAGUUUCAUGGAUAAGUUCUGUAAUUCGGUUAGAGUGCACUUUAUGGCUAAAUCUGACACGGCAAUAAGGUAAAUAUAACUGAGUGCAUGUCUUAUAUGUAGUUAGACUGUAAAUACAAGUUAGCCCUAUAAUAGCAUACCAUGCAAGGCUGCAAGGGCACCGGAGGAGGAGCAGGCUGCAAGGGCCAUGCAAGGGUGUGCAAGGAGCUCGACAUCAAGUUGAGGCCCAGGGCGAGGGGCUAUCUAGAGGACCAAAGGCACUACCAUAAGCCCAACUAGAGGAAAAGAAGGCCCAUAGGUUGACACCUCAUGUUGCCCAAGUGUUCUAACUCCAACACGAGUCACGUCCUAUAGUCGUGCUUUCACACGCACCACCCCCCGCUCCAUCUGCUAUGGUGAGUGUGUGGGCUUGGGCCCCACAACCGUAUGCACCCACCUUCCAUUUCAUGCAUUUUUUAUUGAAAAAUUGACAUGAGGGAUCCACCCGGAUGUCCUCACGACGCAGGACACGUUCUUCGAUCUUGGCUCGCCGUGGGCGGAACGGAGUUACAAGAUGCAAAGGUAGAAGAGCAAAUGGAUAUAAUCUGGGAGGGAGAGACGAGGGGGAGACAAUAAAAUAGGGGAAAUCAGAUCUGAUGAUGGUGUGUGUGCACAUGGGCGGCGGCCGAGGUCAUGUCUUUUUUUGUACAUGCUCCACCAAGGACAUGAAAUUUGUGCUAACCCCAUCUGCCUUUGGUCGUGGCGUCUCAUUGGUAUCGGCGGCUUUAAACUAGUUGGGCCUGAACUAGAAUAUAUCCAAAUAAGAAUAGGACUUGUAGAUGUACUAUUAGCCAUGUUGUAGUAUUCAAGUUGCACACCCUCAGCUUGCCAAGGUGGCACCUUCAGGAAGAUAAUGAUGCAGGGAACGCCGUUGCCGCCCAGUUUGUAUAGAUUAGAGUUUUUACCCGGGUAUGACAGUGGGAGGGAAGAGGGUAAAAGCACCACGACGACGCCUCCAAGGAGGAAGACGGCACCAGGAGGUGUCGACGUCGUCGUGGCCAGAAAUCCAGCCAGGGUCUUCUCCCGGUCUACUAUCACCCCUCCGUCAGCCCCAUCAAAAGUGGAUCCGACGCCCAACAUCCUCCAAGGGCCAGAUCUGGCGGGGGAAGAGGAUGGGAGGGAGAUGAGAGCGUGACCUGUGCCAAACGCUCGCCGCCACGCCGUCCACAUGGCUCAAGAAGAGGGAGGGCACCACCAAUCGAGUGAGGCUUGCCGCCAAACAACCGCAGCCGUAUGAUCUGAGGCCGACGCCUCGACACCGAAGCCCUCCGAGCAGAGCUAGAGCAACCAGAUUUUCACCGCUGCCGUCCUUGAUGAGCGUGCGUGCUUCACAGGAGACCUCCUCUCGCAGCAGCGAGGGGGGGGGGGGGGAGCGGGGGGGAGGAAACCCCGGGNNNNNNNNNNNNNNNNNNNNNNNNNNNNNNNNNNNNNNNNNNNNNNNNNNNNNNNNNNNNNNNNNNNNNNNNNNNNNNNNNNNNNNNNNNNNNNNNNNNNGCCUAUGGGCUUCCCCGGGGUGGGUUGCCCCCCCCCCUCCCGGUGAACUCCCGGAACCCAUUCGUCAUUCCCGGUACAUUCCCGGUAACUCCGAAAACCUUCCGGUAAUCAAAUGAGGUCAUCCUAUAUAUCAAUCUUCGUUUCCGGACCAUUCCGGAAACCCUCGUGAUGUCUGUGAUCUCAUCCGGGACUCCGAACAACAUUCGGUAACCAACCAUAUAACUCAAAUACGCAUAAAACAACGUCGAACCUUAAGUGUGCAGACCCUGCGGGUUCGAGAACUAUGUAGACAUGACCCGAGAGACUCCUCGGUCAAUAUCCAAUAGCGGGACCUGGAUGCCCAUAUUGGAUCCUACAUAUUCUACGAAGAUCUUAUCGUUUGAACCUCAGUGCCAAGGAUUCAUAUAAUCCCGUAUGUCAUUCCCUUUGUCCUUCGGUAUGUUACUUGCCCGAGAUUCGAUCGUCAGUAUCCGUAUACCUAUUUCAAUCUCAUUUACCGGCAAGUCUCUUUACUCGUUCCGUAAUACAAGAUCCCGCAACUUACACUAAGUUACAUUGCUUGCAAGGCUUGUGUGUGAUGUUGUAUUACCGAGUGGGCCCCGAGAUACCUCUCCGUCACACGGAGUGACAAAUCCCAGUCUNNNNNNNNNNNNNNNNNNNNNNNNNNNNNNNNNNNNNNNNNNNNNNNNNNNNNNNNNNNNNNNNNNNNNNNNNNNNNNNNNNNNNNNNNNNNNNNNNNNNUAGGGCGAAUUCGUUGCUUUCAUGUAUCUUGUGCACACCUGCUACUAUAGACGUGUUCGGACUCCCUCCGCUCCGCGACUCCACGCCGGAGCGGAUUGGCCGUCCAGUGCUAAAUAGCAGAGUUCCUAAAAUGCAGCUCCGCGUACUCCGCUCCGUGGAGGGAGUCCGAACAGGCGCUAUGUAUGGCCUCUUCCUAAUGCUGCUGCAUUCUACUGUAUAUCUUCCUACAUCAUUAAAUAUCAUAGUGUGUAUUUGCUUUAUUCUGAGAAAACAAUCUGAUUUUGUCGUAAUGAUGUUUAAUUCUGCUGUUAUAUCUGGGACAGUAGGUUUUCACCAUGAUCACCAUUUGAAACAAAUGGUCAUAGUAGUACUUAUCUUUUCUCAAUAGAAUAAAUUAAAGUUUACAUGCAUUGACAGAAUGUCAUUCCUGCAUGCAAGGACUUGAAACCUGCCGGUGUCGCUUGUUCCUCAAAAGGUACACUUCCUCUCAAGUUAUAAGGUCCCAAUCCUGAUGAUCCCGGCUCCUCCUCUGUAGUCCCUGUAAUUAUAUAAUAAUAUGUGGUGCUCACUUUGGAAUAAUAACUAAGUUGUAGUGGUGGACGGGUUAUGUACAUAAGCCUGGCACUUUUUAACGGUUAAGUAUCGAGUCAUGCAUCUGUGUUAACGCAUCUCCCCCUAUAAACUUAAGGGUUUUUAACGGAUUACAAAGAGACUGCACUUGUUCUAUGACAGCGAUAACUGAUAAACGAUAAAUAUGUUGUGUAGUAUCAUGUAACUUGACUACAGACCUCACUCCUAUCACCCAAAAUAACUAGACUGCAAUCUUCUUGUUCUUAAAAGAUUGCUCUUUGCGUUCUUUUGUGGAUUUUAAAACUGCACUACCACAUUGUCACAAUUUUACAAGUUUUUAUUCCUCCCUGAUCAGAUUCUGGUCAAAAGUUCUUCUAAAUCGAAACUUUUUUUUGUCACGUCAUUGCAUACUUGUUGGCUACAUAUGCUAUCUAAAUGACAGAUGAAAACUGGUGCCUUAUUUUCUUGAGAGUCCUGCUAGUUGCUCUUACCAUUGAUGCAUUAAAUAGCUACUGAGAAUGAUUUUUUCUCACAGGUUCCUUAAUUCUUAGUACUGUGUAGUACUGCUAGUUUACAUGUCCCCUGUUAAUAAUUGGCAAUAGCACCUGACUUUUCAUGUUCGUCUUGCUGUGUGCACGCCGUCAAUCAUCAGUAGAGCUUCAAUCAUGAUAUAAGCAUAUAUAAUAAAAACUACUAACGAGGCGUUGCAACCUGUUCGNNNNNNNNNNNNNNNNNNNNNNNNNNNNNNNNNNNNNNNNNNNNNNNNNNNNNNNNNNNNNNNNNNNNNNNNNNNNNNNNNNNNNNNNNNNNNNNNNNNNNNNNNNNNNNNNNNNNNNNNNNNNNNNNNNNNNNNNNNNNNNNNNNNNNNNNNNNNNNNNNNNNNNNNNNNNNNNNNNNNNNNNNNNNNNNNNNNNNNNNNNNNNNNNNNNNNNNNNNNNNNNNNNNNNNNNNNNNNNNNNNNNNNNNNNNNNNNNNNNNNNNNNNNNNNNNNNNNNNNNNNNNNNNNNNNNNNNNNNNNNNNUACAGCACCCUGUUUUGUUGUAGCAAAAAAACAGAUACUGAUAUUCUUGCUGCCUCCAAACAAUGUUGCAGGGCCGGUGGAGUUCGAGACGUUGUGGAACUGCCUCGGGCAAUGGCGGGUGAGUGCUACUGCCAAUUUGCUUGCCAGUAUCGUUUAACUUUGGGUCAUGAAAGUAUGUAUGCUCGUGAAUGAAACAGAGUGCGCACAUUCAGUUCCUGAUGCUCUCUGUUUUCGGGGGGGGGNNNNNNNNNNNNNNNNNNNNNNNNNNNNNNNNNNNNNNNNNNNNNNNNNNNNNNNNNNNNNNNNNNNNNNNNNNNNNNNNNNNNNNNNNNNNNNNNNNNNNNNNNNNNNNNNNNNNNNNNNNNNNNNNNNNNNNNNNNNNNAGGGGGGGGCGGGGGGCGAUGUUUUCGGGAAUCAUUGUUGGUUGUUGUGGGCGUAAGUACAUAUGUGGGGUUUCUUGUUGUGCAGUAACUCUAGAUGAGGAAAUUUUGGUGCUCUCUCAUUUUGGCAAGUUUCUUGGCACCGCGUCAAGAUAGCUAUUUGUCAUAUAUGUAGUGUUCGUUCGGAAUAGCUCGGCUUUUAACUUGCUGAGCAGCGUUCAGUUCCUAGUCCGGUUCAAGUUUCGCACCCCGAAUGAGUGCUGGAUCGUGUUUUCAGUUCUUGGUUGCGCCCUUGAAAAGUGAAUUCGGAUGUGAUUCCAGCAUUGUUAGCUUUUAAUUGAUUGCUGGUUAAAUAUGUUGAAACUUAUUCAUCCUUGUGCUUAGUAGGGAGAUGUUUAUAUUUUCUGAAGAAAUGGCAAGGUGUAACAUUUGCUUUAUGGUAGAUAUUUUUGAGUUUUGUAAUUUUAUCUGUAGGAAUUGUUGACUGUCCUAUAUGGUUCUACACAUUAACAUAGUUAUUGACUGCACAUGGCAACCCCAUAUGUCACUUCAUGAACUAGAGGACUGGUAAAUGUAGCCAACUUUGCUGAUGUAUAACCAUCUGGGAGCUGUGAUAUUUUCUAGUGGGGUGGUGCUGGAUGCAGUGGUGCUCCUCACUUAGCAUAGUAAAUCAGUAAUUAUAAUAGUGAUAAGAGUCAUGAACUAGUGAUAGUAUCUGCUUAACUUUUCCCUUGAAACACAUGACUUAAGUUUCUCAUGGGACUGUUUUGAUGUGACAGUUCUGUAUUUCUAUCUUUAUUUAAAGAACGACAUUUGCUAUCCAGAAAGUAUGCCAUGCUGCUUACUCUGUUAAUAAUCUUAUCUAUGUUGUGAUAAUGCAGAAGGGACCGUGAUAGAGAUGGCCACAGAAGGCAUCGUUGUCGCUCCCGUUCAGAGAGCCAGAGGUAUGUGUUGGAUGCCAUCCAAAGCUAUUAUUCUCAACUUGUCAGUUUGUAAUGUCAUUAAUACUAAGUUUGCUUGUUUCCCUUGAAUAAUCUUUUCUGAGUACAAAACAAUUAGCAGUGAGAGCCAGAGGUAUGUGUUGGAUGCCAUCCAAAGCUAUUGUUCUCAACUUGUCAGUUUGUAAUGUCAUUAAUACUAAGUUUGCUUGUUUCCCUUGAAUAAUCUUUUUUGAGUACAAAACAAUUAGCAGUGAUUUUGGUAUGUGUUAGUUUUUGACGAAGUGCCAAGAAACAUACUCUAUCAGUUGGUGUGGGUACAUUUGUCAUAUAUGUAGUGUUNNNNNNNNNNNNNNNNNNNNNNNNNNNNNNNNNNNNNNNNNNNNNNNNNNNNNNNNNNNNNNNNNNNNNNNNNNNNNNNNNNNNNNNNNNNNNNNNNNNNNNNNNNNNNNNNNNNNNNNNNUGUCAUAUAUGUAGUGUUGUUCUUAAAUUAAUUAAAUGAGCCCGAAUCUUACUGUAUUUUGUUGGCUAUAAAUAGUCUUAAACAAGUUGUUACAAUGCCUAUGCACAUAAUUUGCUCUGCGUGUUCUCAUAUCAGUAACAAUGCUUUCUUUUUUCUUUCUCUUGUGCUUCGACAGGCUGUCCAACUCGUUUCUCAACAGCUCCUUCCUCAACAACUUGUUCUGAGGCAAAACCUGGGAGAACAUGUAUUUGCUAUAUUCUGUCCGUUGUUGCUAUAUUCCUGUGUAAGGAAAUGUAUCCAUGAGAUGAGUUAUUGUGUUAUGUAAACCUGGGAGAUUUAUUAUGUGAUGUUAUAAGAUGGAUGAUUUUAAUUCGACUUGGAGUUUUCUUGAUUUGAAUAUGAAAUAGUGUUGGAUUUAAUAUUGGACAAAUAAUUGGGUUGAAAAGGCCCAAUAAAUAGAAAUGAAACCAAGUUCUGGUAUAAAAAGUUGUUGAAUUCAAAAAUAAAAAAAGGCAAAAACUCAAACUGGACCAAAUGUAUUUGGACACUAAAAGGCCAGGGCCCAAAUUAUAAUGGUACAAAAAAAUUCGAAAAAAAUAUAUUAGAAGUGGUUGUAAAUAGGCUAAGGCCCAAAAAGAAGCCCAAUAAAAAAAGCCCAAAAAAAUAAACCAGCCCAUGUGAUCAAUUAAAAUGGGUUGGCCUGAUUUCAACCAUGAUGUUUUGAUUUCGUCGUAAUUUUGCCACGUAGGACUGCCACGUAGGAUUGUGUUAGAUUGCCAACGAUGAUUUAGGAUCGUCGUAAAGGUUACGACAAUCCAGGAAUCGUCGUAAAAGUUACGACGAUUUUGAUCAAAACAUCGCUGUUGUUCAUUUCUGACGCUCCGUUUCCGACGCUUGGUUUUUCGUCGUGAGAUCGUCGUAAAUUAAAAACCGUGACGAUGUAGCGACGAAAAUAUAGCGUCGUNNNNNNNNNNNNNNNNNNNNNNNNNNNNNNNNNNNNNNNNNNNNNNNNNNNNNNNNNNNNNNNNNNNNNNNNNNNNNNNNNNNNNNNNNNNNNNNNNNNNNNNNNNNNNNNNNNNNNNNNNNNNNNNNNNNNNNNGUCGUGUAUUAGCAUAUUCCUUGUAGUGGGCAGGAUAGUCUGCCACACAUAUUCAAGUCACACCAGAAACUUCGAGGUUACAAUGUAGAGAAUGGUGGUGUGCUAGAGAAACUAACAUAUGAUUACAACAUCUUCUCAUGGCUCGAAAUUUUUCAUUCUCGAUUCGUCCCAUUCUCAACUUAACCUCUCAUUUCUUUCUUAAUUCUCUCAUCGUCGUCCCUAACAGUGGGUGAAGAACAUAAUUUGUCAUCGCGCUCAACCUUUGUGCUGACUCUAGAUAAGGAUGGAGUAUGCACCUGAUGGUUGGCCAUGUAUAUAUACUCCGACAUAUAUAAUACUAUUUAUUUGGCUGUGAUGGUGUGGUUGGUGAGAAUAUUUAUCUGGGAACAAUAUUGUAAGGUCUGCUCAUACAUACAAAGACUUAUAAAAUGGUGACCCUCUCUCCAAUGCUACACGUAAAGAGCAUGUGAUGUUAUUACUUUAAGCUAAACGGAGAAUUAUCUUAAUAGUUUCAAAAUCACGAGCUAACGCAUUUACUUUUUUCUUUGUUAACUCAUGCUUGUUUCUAAAGAAACAUUUAAACCAUUUUAGUCUAUUAUCUAGAUAAGAAAACUCCAGAUACAGUGAAAUUGGCGGAGCCGAUGACAUAUAUAUUUAAAAAAUCGAUCUCAUAGAUCUCACCUAAUGUAAAUAUGACCAACCAUUGUGUUGGCGAUCAUUGUGUUUCAACUAGCAUGUCUCGAGUUCGAUCUCUCAAGCAUGCAUUUUUCGUUCUGUUUUCUCUUUGUGCACUGACAGGCGGAACCCUAUCUCUGGUGGCUUUUCGGGGAAAAAAUAUUCAAGGCUAUAUUUUUUUGUAAAAUAAUAGGCCACGUGCUUGGCUGCAUCAUCUUGUCGCUCCCAAUGGGUUUGUGCCACACUGGUGCGGACUGCCAGCGUUGUUCUCGCGUGCAAACAUAAUUUGCACCGUAUAAGCAAGCCCAGACCAUGUUUUGACACCCGUUCAAUGUAUGCCAUAAGUUUAAGAACUAAAUUGAUUUUUGUAGCCAACUUUAAGCACCGGUGUUGUAAUUUACUCUUAUGAUAAGCAAUGAGUUGGUGCAUGGUCUUAUAAAAUUGAUCAACAUAUUCAGCGAUAGAACCCAGUUGUUCAAGAUAAGAAAAUCGGCAGAUCAAUCAUUGGUGUCGAUUGCAGCCAAUCUUGUGAACUACAAUUGCAGAAAACAUUGUCCAUGAGAUAUGACGAAGGCAAAAGUUGGCAGACUUGUGCGAGAACGUUGCAUUGACAUUGAAGUGCAUGGAUGCGAGACACCGGGAUCCAUGGGUGCACUUCAUACAUCUUGAAAUAAUUGGUGUAAUGAGUGUGCCAGAGUUUAUAGACGUGAAGUUUGUGUGUGCAUAUUCACCAAACAGAGGCGAGUGUGAUGACAAGGGGAAUCGCUCAAUGUUGGUCGGUGGAAAGAAAGGAGUCGGUAGGACCCCUUCACUCGACCACCACGGAUGCUGGUCCUCGCGGUAGCAUAACAGCCUGGUGGUCGAUGUCUAAACGGUCGCCACCCUUACUUGCUCGUGGAUCUUGCCAAGCUUGGGGCAACUGAUGGAGAGGGACAACCAACAGGUAGCAACACUUCAGGAUAUGGACGAUGUAUUCCUCCACGCCCGAAUUGGGCUUGAAGAUGUAGUCAGAUACAUCCAACAUGAGAACCAGGCUCUGAUCGGAUUACCACUUGUUAACAACACGGUAUGAUGUUCCUCUCAAACUUCCUCAAUGCAUAUUAACUUAAACAACCGACAAGAAUUUCUAAUGUUGUGGGCAGGAGAACACAAAGGCGAGAGGGUGUCCGCCGCGAUAGAAUUCCUAAUCAGCCUACGCUUCUCUACAACACUCGAUGGCUCGAUAUAAUGACGAGGCUCGGAUGCACUUAUGCCCAAUCUGCGUCUGCCAUUCUGCUGUUGGGGCUUCUGCUUCCAAUACUGCCUUGGUGCUACAUGCCUCCACCACACCGUCCUCACGCGCAGCGGGCCUGACACUCUUCCAGGCGCAACACGAGUCUUUAUCCAAUCAUGCAGGAAUUGCAAUAUACAUUUGUUUCACAUGUCUUCCCGGAUUUCAUAUUCAUGGAUGAAGCAAUGAGAUCAGCAGCUCAUCAAACGCUCUUUCUUAGUGUCCAAAAUAUGAUCCGAUUAUUUCUUACUUUCCCUAUGCCUCCUAGUCCUAUGUGUUUACCUUACCAUCCCAAUUUUUAUUUCAUCAUCUCUUAUGCUCAAACGUACUGCAACUUACGAUAUAAAGUGUGUGUAGAAGUGCAUGUAUGCAUGGGACCUUAUGGGAUUUUCAGCAUGCUCAUGUCAAGAUGGGNNNNNNNNNNNNNNNNNNNNNNNNNNNNNNNNNNNNNNNNNNNNNNNNNNNNNNNNNNNNNNNNNNNNNNNNNNNNNNNNNNNNNNNNNNNNNNNNNNNNNNNNNNNNNNNNNNNNNNNNNNNUGCUCAUGUCAAGAUGGGAUAGUUUAGUACUGAUGGUAUGACCUAAGACCUGCGACAUCAAUGCUUGUCAGCGACUUAAAACAUUUAUACUCUAAUUUGUGAAAUUAGAAGUGUUAGUGGUACUCUGGAAAGCUGUUAAUAAAGUAAUAGUACUUGGCUUUGCCCAAGAUUUUAAACCAUCAUUAAUGUUUACAAGGGGCCCAAGUAAAGUCUUUACCCCGUACAAAAAGAUAUGAUUUUAACUCUUUAUUUCGCUUUUCAUUAGUCAAUAUCUUUUCGGUUAUGCACAAGAGAAAUUAUCACAAAAUUAUUUUCAGUGAUCCUUGAAUAAUCCAUGGCUCAUAAAAGGACACUGAAUCAUAGUAAAGUUUUACUUCUGCACUUAUAUGGUAUGAAAAUACUCACCUACUUAUGUUUUUAUGGCUACAUAGUAAAUCACAAUGAGGAUCUCAGCUACUUGUGCUUCCAUGGCUGCCAGGUGCUUGGUUGCCAUUUAGUGAACAUGGGAUUGGUGAGGUAGUCCGGUCGAUGCAGCGUUGGAAGUUGGCUCUCAGUAACCAGUGUUCCUCUCAAUUGAUAUAAGAUGAUCGAGUCUACAGAGCUGCCGGGAAAAGAAGAAGAACAGAAGGGCAGCGGGUGGCCGAAACAAGACAAUUCCUAAUCAAUCCAUGCCUCGCCGAGUCCACUUGAUGGCUAGAUAUGUCACUAGGUAUAGCCAGACGCCCACUCUGGACCUGCCAUUCUUGUAUAGGGCCCUCUAAGUGUGGGUCCCACCUUGUCAGGCACCGUCUCCUUGUCGCCAUGGUUCUACAUACCUAUCUCUUGAUGCACACUGAUGCUGCCAUCCUUCCAGUUGCAACAUGAAUCUUUAUGCAAUCAUGCAUGCUAGCUCGCUCACUGUUUGAAGUUCUCAGAUGAAUCAACUAGAACAAUAGCAUCACAUCUGCUGUUUCCCGGCCUUGAANGAUGUUGUCCAAUUCAUUAAGGGCAAUAAAAUUGGACCCUUUCUAAGCCUUUUAAAAUUAGACCAUCGGAUCGCACGUCUCAGUCACCAUGUAAGGCAGUUUUUCUUAGGCAUGGGCUGAUACUGGGCCGGUUCCGUUUGUCCUUGGGCAGAUAUUCCUAUAGCCAAAUCCAAAGCCCAUCACGUUUCACUUGUUCAUCAUUUGAAGUUCACGGAUGAAUCAACAAGAACAACAACAUCAAGUCCCCUGUUUCCCGGCCUUGAANNNNNNNNNNNNNNNNNNNNNNNNNNNNNNNNNNNNNNNNNNNNNNNNNNNNNNNNNNNNNNNNNNNNNNNNNNNNNNNNNNNNNNNNNNNNNNNNNNNNNNNNNNNNNNNNNNNNNNNNNNNNNNNNNNNNNNNNNNNNNNNNNNNNNNNNNNNNNNNNNNNNNNNNNNNAUGCCUCCUAGUCAUAUGUGUUUGCCAUACCCGUAUGUAUAUAUGCGUGCGGCAUGCUUGGCUUUUUCUUGUAUGCUCGUGUCAAGAUGGGAUAGUAUAUAUAGGAGAGACGCAGUGGUGAUGCCACAUCAAUGCUUUUUAUCACAUUAAACAUCCAUACCGAAAUGUAUCUAUGUGUAGAGCCAUAUACAUGCUAAAACAACCAGACCAAAGUCAACCACGGUGGCUUUUUAUCACAUUAAACAUAGUAAAACAAAAGUACGGAUCAAGGUAGAGGAAUAUGCUAGAAAAUCCCACAAUAAUAAGAAUAUUUCUGUUGGAAAUUUUCAUUCAGGCGAGCAGUUAUUUCAAUAUAGAAAAAAAAUGUUUUCAAUAGAUGUUGUCGAAUUCAUAGAUUGCAUGAUUGACUUCUGGGUUAACUAAUUGUGCUACUGAACAAUUAGGAGAAACAGAAAGAGAGUGUGGCCGGCCGUGCCGUGGUUAGCUACCUAACGUGCUGAUGCUCGGGUCCUGCUCCUUUUCAGGAUGCCGCUCUCAGCGAUGGCAACGGCAGCGACUACGUACACCACCAACAACAGCUACCAGCCCGCCACUAUCCCCACUAAUUAACGCCUCAUCCUACCCUCAGCAAUUUGCCGCCAACAGCUCUGGGCUCUGGCCAAGCACCCGAUGUUGUGCCCGCACUUGCGCUCUGCCGUGGCGACAUCGCUAAUAACACGACAUGUAAGGAUUGUGUUGGCGCCUCCUUCCGGCACGCUCAGCAGACGUGUCACAAUAAUGAGGCUGCCACUGUCUACAACAACUAUGGUGCCAUAAGGCUGGUCAUAGUGGGAGUAACUAAGGUAGUAUCAUGUACUUGGGACUAGCAAACAUGUUGAUUUGACAGACAAUUAAAGAAGAAAGAUAGAGUUAGAGUAACAUAGGUAGAUACUGUAACAUGUUAAAUACUAUGCUACUAUGUGUUAUGCAUGUUAAUAAAUAAGGUCAUCUAUGAUACUACUUUAUGAUAUUAUGCACUAUGAACGUAGUAUCAUACAAUAGUAUCAUAUGCAUGACACUACUAUAUGAUACUCCCCAUUAUGAUGAGACUAAACAACUAGCGAUCGGUCUACGAGAAUGGUACACUCUUCGAGGCUUGGAAUCCGGGAAACAUCUCCUACCAUCACCGCCGCAGACAUCCACAACCCGCUGAAUGUGACUGCCCAGGACGUGGCCACCAACAGCGCGAGACGGUACUCCCUAGCACAUGUAGUACAACUAUCGGUUUUCCCAUUCAACAGACAAAUUCGAGUAUGGAUGUGGUGCAGCUAUUACUGUGAAGAAUGUAUCCUCCUCUUUUUAUGUGGUUUUCAUACAAUGGGAUUAAAAAAAUAUGCUUCUUAUGAAUACGCGGGGUUCGUAUGCCCCCUCAAUAAGUGUCAACUAUCAAACCUUGAAAGUUUCGCGAGUUUCCAAAAGAACGUACUAACAAAUCCCUAACUCAUCUUAAUGCUAUUUGCUCUCAUAAGUUAAUUCCCCCCCUUCCACUUAUAAAUUAGAAGACUGUAUUGGCUACAUUGUUGGAUGGAUUUAUUAGUAUGGUUAGUGCACCAUGAUGAAUCUUAAUGCUGGAUAGCAUAUAUGUCAAUGAAUGUUGCCUUAUGACCAACUUCUCAAAUGCAGACGACCGAUUUGUUAGUUUUGUCCACGGCACUCGGCAAAGUGUUUUUUUGCCGAGUUUUACAUUUUUCUGUAGUUAAGUACUUGGCAAAUAUACUAUUGCCGAGUGUUCGAAAUAAUGCACACGAUAAAACAACCUAACACUCGGCAAAGAGGAAAGUUCUAGUAGUGGCACGUCACAGUGGAUUUCUGCAAUCAACUCCUCUCGUCACCAACCUUGACCAGGAGCUCGACGGAGAGGUGAGCCGUCCAACCUGGCCCUCUGUGAGCCGCUGGUCCUCGAUGACCAGAUCGACCAGAGCGCUAGUACAACAAGCUUAACUAAGCCAAGUCCCCAGCUGCAUCGGCUCUGCUCCAGUCUUCCCGUUGUCUCCCAUUCUCAAUCUUUAUGUCUCUCUCUUUUUUCUGUCUUGCAUCGUUGUUGUUGGUGCAUGCAAAUACUCGUUAUGAGGUACAAUUCAAGGACUUGUGAUGUUUGAAGAGAACGACUCGUCCCAUGAUCAUGUACGGCAUAUGCCAUGAACUCGACUAGUACGCAAUGCAUUUUUCUAGGUGGGACACAGAAUAUACAUCUCAUGCAUGCGGCAUGCUCGGCUUUUUCUUGUAUGCUCAUGUCAAGAUGGGUUAGUAUAUAUAGGAGAGAGGCAGUGUGAUGCCACAUCAAUGCUUUUUAUAGCAUUAAACAUCCAUACCGAAAUCUAUCUAUGUGUAGAGCAAUAUGCAUGCUAAAACAUCCAUACCGAAGUCAACCACAGUGGCUUUUUAUCACAUUAAACAUACUAAAACAAAAAUACGGACUAAGAUAGACGAAUAUGCUAGAAAAUCUCACAAUAAUAAGAAUAUGUCUGUUGGAAAUUUUCAUUCUGGCGAGCAGCUAUUUCAUUAUAGAAAAAAAUGUUUUCAAUAGAUGUUGUCCAAUUCAUUGAUUGCAUAAUUGACUUCUGUAUCAGCGGCGUUAAAGUAGAGUAUGUUAGCUACUCUGCCUCCGUUAGAUAGGUUAGAUCGAGUUUUCCUUGUUUUCAGUAAAUAAUGCAGUAGACGCUCGAGCCCACAGCCCUUCGUGUGUGUGCGUUGAGAAGGUAGGAGGCAGGUGCGAUCGCCAGGUCGUGCGCGCCGUAUCAGCUAGGGUGGUUAAGCCACGACGCCAGCUCGUGGGAUGGCGCGAGUCUUCGGAUCGUGGCACCGGAAUAGGAGUAGUAGCCGGGCCAUCGACAUCUCUUGUACUGAAUAAAUAGCAGAGAAAAACGAGAAAAGCUACACUUAUUCGUAGCGUAAAACCCCUUGUCUACCUUCGUCUACCCUGUCUACCCCUCGAUCGACCGAUUUCCGGCGCUAGCAGCGCUAACAAUUGCUAUCAGAGCCCGUUUGCGAUCCCGGCGACGAUGGCAGGUAAUGAGGCGUUACUGUCUGCUGGUACAAGGGAAUCAGGGCUUCUAUCCAACACGUAGUACAACUAUGGGUUUUCCCAUUGAACAGACAAAUUCGACUAUGGAUGUGGUGCAGCUAUUACCGUGAAGAAUGUAUCCUCCUCUUUUUUAUGUGGUUUUCAUGCAAUGGGAUUAAAAAAAAAAUGCUUCUUAUGAAUAUGCGGGGUUCGUAUGCCCCCUUAAUAAGUGUCAACUAUCAAACCAUGAAAGUUUCGCGAGUUUCCAAAAGAACGUACUAACAAAUCCCUAACUCAUCUUAAUGCUAUUUGCUCUCAUAAGUUAAUUCCCUCCUUACACUUUUAAAUUAGAAGAUUGUAUUGGCUACAUUGUUGGAUGGAUUUAUUAGUAUGGUUAGUGCACCAUGAUGAAUCUUAAUUCUGGAUAGCAUAUAUGUCAAUGAAUGUUGCCUUAUGACCAACUUCUCAAACGCAGACGACCGAUUUAUUAGUUUUGUCCACAACACUCGACAAAGUGUUUGUUUGCGGAGUUUCAUGUUUUUACCGAGUUAAGUACUUGCAAAAAUACUAUUGCCUAUUGUUAAUGCGCACAAUAAAGAACCUCACACUCGGCAAAGAGGAAAAUUCUAGUGGUGACACGUCAGAGUGGAUUUCUACAAUCAACUCCUCUCAUCACCAACCUUGACCAGGACCUCGACGGAGAGGUGAGCCGUCCAACCUGGCCCUCUGUGAGCCGCUGGUCCUCGAUGACCAGAUCGACCAGAGCGCUAGUACAACAAGCUUAACCAAGGCAAGUCCCCAGCUGCAUCGGCUCUGCUCCAGUCUUCCCGUUGUCUCCCAUUCUCAAUCUUUAUGUCUCUUUCUUUUUUCUGUCUUGCAUCAUUGUCGUUGGUGCAUGCAAAUACUCGUUAUGUGGUACAAUUCUAGGACUUGUGAUGUUUGAAGAGAACGACUCGUCCGAUGAUCAUGCACCGCAUACGCCAUGAACUUGACUAGUUUUUUGCCCCCGAGUGGCAUAUAUUUGAUAGGAGAAGAAAGUAGUGUCCCGAGUGUUAGAUAAUGACUUCUGAUACUUGUGUGAGCACGGAGCAGUAGUCGUUAUAUAUGCUCAGCCACAAAUGUGUAUGGUGGUGGGCCUGAGUACUGCUAGCCUGCUACGCAUUGGCUUCAUGCUGUGACCUGGUAUCAGGUUUAUUGCAGGGUAUGGCCUUUAAUUUGCUGGUUGAGUAGACAAUGCAUUUUUCUAGGUGGGACACAGAAUAUACAUCUCAUGUAUGUGACAUUAGCUCUUUAUGUGAAGGAAUUAUGCAUGUUGAAUUUUCAGUAUUUUUCUAUUCACUGCAGUAUCUGUUGUCGUUGUAGGUAGAGGAGCCAUUUUUUUUAGAAAGGAAAUAUGACCCCGGCCUCUACAUAUGGAAGAUGCAUGCAACCACUUUAUUAAUUAUUCAUAAAGAUCUUACAAAGCAGUACACCACUUUAUUAAUUAAUCAUCAAGAUCUUACAAAGCAGUACAUCAAUAUGUCUAAAGUCACCCUCUUGACAACAUCUGUCGCUACUUCUAUCCAAUAAUGAAGGUGUGCAGAAAGUGUGAGUCACAUACCCUGACCUUUCACCUAGCCUAACAUCUAAAACCGGAGGCCCCGACCGAGCCACAUACCGGGUCAAGGGCACAAACCGGUCCGACGCACCUUCAUAGGUCAUCGCUGCCGCCUUCCGUCAAUCCAUCUUCAUGAAUCGACCUUGCAAGGCCUGCCGUUGAUGCCCCCACGGCACCAGACAGCGCCUCCUCCCUACGCGUGCUCAUCAUCACGCAUCUGUCGUCGAGACUUUGCUGCACCUCGCCGCCGAGAGUCCACGACGUCGAUGUGUCACAGGGAACACCGCUCCACCGUAGAUGCCGACCAAAGGUCCCUCGAGCCCGUGUGUACCUCCAUGAAUGACGCCCCCAAGGGGGAAACGACACCAGAGCGUCGCCGUCAUCCGAUCUACUGAUCUAGGAUUUCCCUCGGAGGUAGCAGAGAGUAACUUUGAACUUCUCCUAGGCGAUGCCCUCAGGAAGGGAACGACGUAGACAGCGCUGCCAUCGCCGGCCUUGGCAGUAGCCGAAAGCAAGCUUUCAGCCAAAUCUGUUCGAAGAACCCACCUCUCCUGCACGGGCCACCACAUCCUGCGACGUCCCCGGGUGGAGACGCCACAAGGACCCACCACCUAGCCAUCAUCCCUGACGAAGGGGAUGGCGCCACCAACUUGUUCAGAUCCAGCAGCACGCCAACGCCUCCUACCGCCCCCAAUCACAUCUAUGAAGGAGUGCAGUCAACGCGCGUGCCCACCACCGCUUAGGGCCGCCGGGCGGCGCCCCAGCUCGCCACCCGGAGGAGAAUCGAUCUGGGGUGGGGAACCCCAGAUCCGUCGCUGCCAGCCCCCGCAGCGCCGUCGGGAUCCCAUCGGGCCGCCGUCCAAGCGUGCCAACUCCGCCUCCAUGCCGUACGCCCAGGGGCACCGUCGCAUCUCAGCCAGAGGACCCCCUUGUGAAGAAGGGAGGAAGGCCCACCGUCAGCUGCCGUCUGCCGGGCGAGCCCUCGAGCCCGUGUGUACCUCCAUGAAUGACACCCUCAAGGGGGAAACGACACCAGAGCGUCGCCGUCAUCCGAUCUACUGAUCUAGGAUUUCCCCCGGAGGUAGCAGAGAGUGGCUUUGAACUUCUCCUCGACGAUGCCUUCAGGACGGGAACGACGUAGACAGCGCCGCCAUCGCCGACCUUGGCAGUAGCCGAAAGCAAGCUUUCAGCCAAAUCUGUUCGAAGAACCCAUCUCUCCUGCACGGGCCACCACAUCCUGCGAUGUCCCCGGGUGGCGACGCCACAAGGACCCACCACCUGGCCGUCAUCCCUGACGAAGGGGAUGGCGCCACCAAAUUGUUCAGAUCCAGCAGCACGCCAAGGCCUCCUAUCGCCCCCCAAUCACAUCUGUGAAGGAGUGCAGUCAACGCGCGCGCCCACCACCGCUUAGGGACGCCGGACGGCGCCCCAGCCCGCCACCCGGAGGAGAAUCGAUCUGGGGUGGGGAACCCAGAUCCGCCACCGCCGGGAUCCCAUCGGGCCGCCGUCAAAGCGUGCCAACUCCGCCUCCAUGCCGUACGUCCAGGGGCAUCGUCGCAUCUCAGCCAGAGGAUCCCCUUGUGAAAAAGGGAGGAAGGCCCGCCGUCAGCUGUCUGCCGGGCGAGCUUCGCUCGCCGGCCUCCUCCGGCGGUGAUGGGAAAGCAGGGGAGGAGUUAGGUCAAGGGCGGUGGCGGCUAGGGCACGACGCGAGCGAAUCGUUUUUCCUGGGACCGAUCAGGUAGAGGAGCCACGCUGUGGUUUUAUUUCUCUUCAACUAGUUUCAGUAGUUGCAAUAGCAUGUUCUUUAGUUCAGUAGGAGUGAACUUCGGGGCUGAAUGAAACACGGUAUUCAGGUAACUACAAACUAAGUGCAUGUCUCAUAAAUAUUUGGACUGUUAGACUUGUCCCUCGAAGUACUGAUUUGACACAAGCACAAGGCCCGCCCAAAAUCCCUGCAUAUCUCGCAUAUCCAGUUUUUAUGGUAUCAGCUGCCCUGCUUGAGGUUAUCCAUUUUGUGAUUCUGACACGAUUUCCCUGAAAGGAACUACAUGUAUGGUUGCAUGCCAGUAAUUCUGUACAGGAACGGAUGUGUCUUCCCUCAGGGUGGGCACGGUCCGAGCCGGUCCGGUCCCUGUCCGAACCGGCGUUUGGACCGGCCGGCGGCGGUCCGGUCCGGACCAGACCGAGCAGCGUCGCGGUCCUGUUUUCAGGGACCGGACCGAUAAUGACCGAGCUCAGGCCGGACCAAGAGGAUCGUUAGGACCCGCGAAAACAUGGGCGAGGCAUGCUCUAGAACUCCGGCGAGUCGGGGACGGCUCAUCGAAGAUAUCUUGCUAGAGGAAGAGCAGUUCAUCGAAAAGAUGUCUGGGAGCUUGAGAAGAAUCAGAGGAAGCUACAUGACCGAGAAGAACAACAGAGGGAGCUCAUUGGCUACGAAUCUAGCACGACGGCCGGUGGAUGGAGAUGAGGUAUGAUGGCUGAUGAGGCGAUGUAGGGUCUUCCUCGUCGAUUUUAUUGGCGGAGCUGAUAGAUCCAAGUAGAGCAGGUGUAGUGAACAUGAUUUCUAGGGCCAGAGAGACCGUUGGCCACACGGAGCCGCUGACGAGGGCCACCGUGGCGGCGACCACCACGACGUUGAGCACCCCUGCCACGCCCUCUCCACACACUUGACACACCACAACCACGCCUUCGGCAAGCCCCCGACACGCUCCCGCCAUGCCCCCACCCCUCCCCGGUUAUGCCGCCGGCAUGCCCUCGCCAUGCACCCACCAUGCCACCGGAGUUUCGCUCAGCCUGUAUGGUCGGGCCGAGCUUUAACCGGGCCGGACCGGGGUAUUUUUGGUCCUGUUUUCAGGGCCCAGACUGGCCGAUUUUUUUACCGAGCCAGGACCAAGUCGGCCCGUACCGAGCGAGCAACGAGCCUGUCCGAAAGACCACUCGUCUCGUCCAUCCCGUGUCUUCCCUGAUGCUUCAAACUACUAAAUCUUCCCCCCUUGUUACUAUAUGCAUGAAUAACCGCAUAAAAUUUUCUCUAUGUUAUAGGUAUUAAGUUCUCUUUGUAUCUGUUACCAAACCACCAUCUGUAUGCACAUUCACAUUUGUCAAUUUGGGUCUUACUUUCGCUUCAAAUUAUGUAUGUGGAGUAAAUCAUAGUUUCUCCCGAAUAUACUAUUGUGGGAUACACCCGUUCAUAGGGUAUGUGACAAAUAGUUGAAAAUUGCAUUAAAUUUACAUUAAUUUAUUGUUCCAUUUUAUUUAUUUGAAAUAUCGAUAAUCAUUACAUAUUUCAUUAAUUCAAAAACAGGAGGAGUUUCUCUAAAUAAAUGCAUAUAUAGCGGAAUGUGUGUUUUAAUGUCUGACCUCUUCACAACAUCUAAUAAAUCGGAGCAUAUUCGAGUUGUAGUGUGUGCAUUUUUUUGGACUAUUUCGAAUUGUCGGAAUGAAGUUAUUUUUAGCUGAAAGAACAUCAUAAUUAUUCCCCAGAUCCCCUUCCAGGCGUCUGGAUUGAUACAUAUGUGGUGGUUACUCAUCCGUAUGAAAGUCAGGGAGCAUACAACCUAUGGGUGCAACCAUUGGGAGAUAAUAGCAUGGAAUACAUACAAUUGGUUUGGAUGACAGUUCAAUAGUUAAUAUGACAGGUGUUUAGUCAUCUGCUCCUAUUUUCGGGAAUUGUGGCCUUUUAUUCUAUUCGCUUGAGGUUUCUUACAAACAUGUGCUGAACUGUGUACUUUGAUGCAAUUUUGGUUAAUAAAAUGUCUGUGUACAUCACUUGAUCCAUAUAGGCAUGGGAUAAUUCUUCUUUUCAUAAGGAAAAGAAUAGCUAAACCAGUAAACAGAAGUUCUGACAAUCAAGGUGAUGUGUAUGGAUAAGUAGGUGGAGACCGCCAUACUAUAUGUUGGCACAAAUGGUCGUCUUCGCAAGUGUAAAUGUACAUGGUAGCAAACGUGGCCAGUGUGGUAGCAGGUGCGUUUGGGCUUUCCAUGCCGAUGUCAGUCAGCUCGCUAGCCAGGGUGAGCUGUGCUCAAACCAAUUUUCCUAGAUGGGCAAACCCAGACUUGUUCGGCCCGUAAUUGUACAAGUUGAAACAAGCCAAGCCUCCAUCUGUAUCGGCUCAGCUCAUUUCUGCUCCUAAUUCCUGUCUUCCCGAUGUCUCCCAUUCUCAAUCUAUACUACUAUCUCUUUUUCUAUCUUGCACUGUUAGUGUUGUUGCUGGUGCAUGCGAAAUAUUCAUUUUGAGGUAACACUAGAGGACUCGUGAAGUUUGAACAUAGCCACACGACAGAUGGUCAUGUACGGGAUAACCCAUGAACACGUCUAGUAUAUUUUUUCCUGUGUGGCAUACAUUUUAUAGGAGAAGAAAAUAGUGUAUUGAGCUUCAGGUAGUGACUUCUGUUGCUUGCUUGAGCUCCGAGUAGUAGUCUAUAUAUGUGACCAGCCAGAACAUGCGCAUGGUAGUGGGCAUAUGUCCUUCUAGUCUGCCUACACAUUAGCUUCGUGUCGUGACCUGGUAUCACGUUUAUUGCAGGGCAUCGACUUUAGUUCGACAGUUGAAUAUGCAAUGCCCUUUUCUUGUAGGAACCGAGAAUAUACGUGUCAUGUACGUGAAAAUUAUUUGUUGCUUUAUGUGAAGGAAUUACGCAAAAAAGAAAAGAGUUUCAAUAUUUUUACAUUCAUUGAAAUAUCUUUCUAUUCGGAGGAGCCAUGCUGUUGUUUUGUUUCUUGUCAAAAAAAAUCAAUAGUUAUAAUGGCAUGUUUUGUAGUUCAAUAGGAGUGAACUUCAGGCCUGAAUCACACACGGUAUUCAGGUAAAUACAAACUCAUAAAUAUUAGGACAUAAAAGCCGAAUAUUCGUUUUAGAUGACAAUGAGAGGUCAUUAAAAACGGAGGCUGAACUAAAGCUAAAACAACUACUCGGAGAGGAGGAGUUGAAGUGGGCACUGAGGCAAAAGUUCGCCAAGUUGUGCAAGGUGAUGACAAUACAUUGUACUUCCAUUUGAUAGCUAAUGGGAAACAUAGAAAGAAAAAGAUACAUCAACUCGAGCAAGAUGAGGGUACAAUUCUUGGACACGCGAAUCUGAAAUUGUAUAUAUCUGAAUACUACAAAAAACUCUUCGGGGCUCCUGAAGACAAUUUUGUAUCCAUGAAUGAACAAAUGGCCGGUGACAUACCUCAGCUCGGGACGGACGAGAAUGAGUUAUUAAUCGCACCUUUUACGGAUAAAGAGGUGUUUGAAGCCAUAUCACAAAUGAAAAAUAAUAAGGCAGCAGGCCUAGAUGGAUUUCCGGCUGACUUUUACAAAAAGUGUUGGCAAGUUAUCAAAGGUGACUUGCUACCUAUGUUCCAAGACUUAUUUGACGGAAACUUACAGUUGUUUCACCUAAAUUUCGGAACAGUGACACAGUUGCCAAAGAAGGAGGGUGCAGUACAUAUAGAACAAUUUAGAAUUAUUUGCCUUCUGAAUGUCUAUUUCAAAAUCUUUACAAAGAUAGGAACGAAUAGGUUGGCUCAGAUUGCACAUGAGGUAGUGUAACCUAGUCCGACGGCUUUCAUGUCGGGCAGGAACAUACUAGAGGGUGUGGUGGUCCUGCAUGAAACGCUACAUGAAAUUCACUCGAAGAAACUAGAUGGGUUUAUCUUCAAGGUGUAUUUCAGGAAGGCAUAUGAUAAGGUCAAAUGCCUAUUCCUACAACAGACAUUACGUAUGAAGGGGUUCGUCAAAAUAUGGAGGAAGCAUGUUGAAUAAUUCGUACAAAAAGAGAGUGUUGGAAUCAAAGUCAAUGAUGACAUUGGUCAUUUUUUCCAUACUUUCAAGGGUGUCAGACAGGGAGAUCCAAUGUCAUCCAUCCUAUUUAACAUAGUUGCAGACAUGUUGGCAAUUCUUAUAGGAAGGGCUAAACUAGGAGGCCAGGUAGGUGGACUGGUGCUGCAUCUGGUGGAUGGUGGCAUGUCUAUCCUCCAAUAUGCUGAUGAUACUAUACUAUUUAUGGAACAUGAUGUAGCAAAAGCCAGAAACAUGGUAGGCCUGGCUCUCAGUAGUCCAGCAUCGAUCAAGGGUCACAAGGCAGAGAAAGAACUUCAUGUUCACGGCCGCCCAGGAUUUCCACACGAGACACCGGUAGGAUAUUCAUAUAGAUCCAUGAUAAACAUAUUAGAAGACACGACUAAUAAUGGGCCAAAGCAUGUAUCCGAGAGAGAUUUACGUAUAAUGCCAAUCAAAGGGGAUGCGGCAUCUAAUGUAUAGGGUUGUAUAUGCCCCGGCUGCCAAUUAUGGCAGUUGCAUGUAUCUUUAGGCCUCAUGUCAGCAAACUAGCUACACGAUACAAUCUAGACACACCUGUCAGCUAGUACCACGUCGAGGUUGCGUACUUAGUCUUCAUUCCACUCUUCAGUUUAUGUUUAUAUAUUUUGUUGAUGGCUAGACUGGAGAAAAUUCGUUUUAGCACAUUUUCAAGAGAUAGUGUUUAACAUUAGAUCAACACUCCAGCUAGUACAGCAUACACACUUCAUUCCAAGUGUUUGAUUCCUGAUGUCUCAUAAACUCAAAAUUACUCAUUGUUACUUCCUUGCACUUUUUUAUCAAAGAUUUGGUAUAGGAGAAAAAGUAACUAAAAUAAGUCAUGAACUAAAUGACAUAACCCUAUCGAUCCGUGGUGCUAUAUAUGGGCAGUGAACAACACAUGGUGUGGUAACUGAGAAAAGUUAUCUCGUGUGAAUCACAUGGACGCUCUAGGAGAGAGAAUAAAUCUAAAAUGGGAGAGAUUCAUUUCGUGGGAACCACAUCCCUCUUUUUGUCUUCCCACGUGUUAUGGCCUGCAGCAGCAACCCUCCCCAAGCAUUGCAAUCGGCACCCGCAUUAUCCACACGGAGCUCUUUCGAUUUUAAACUUCCCAUAGUUAUCUGAUCGACAGAAGAAUUGAUAUCUUUUUGACAUAAAGCCAUGCUAGUUUGAUUUUCCUUCUGCCAAAAAGUAUUACACACAGAAAAUUCAACCAUUGUUAAUGCGGUGGUACCUUGGUUCAUGAUAGGAUGCAGCAUUGACAGUACCCCCAGCAACGGGCACGUUUGUAUCUCAUCCCAGCAAGAAAAAUAAUAGCGCCGCGUCGAGUGCUUCCACCGACUAGCAAAUUGAGAGACGGUGUACCUUUUUUGUUCAUUUUUUCGUUUGUGUUUCCUCCUUUGUUGUUGUUAUUUAUAUAUCAAAAUAUUGUUCACACAGAUGUUGAUCACGCUUUGAAAGAUGUUCACACGUUGAAAUACUGUUGAUCACGCUUAGAAAAAUGUUCACACAUUUAAAUCAUGUUCAUCAUAUAUUAGAAAAAUGUCCGUGAGACAUAAACCAUUUUUCUACAUAAGUUUAAAAAAUUAUUAUGACACUCAAAGAAAUUACCAAUGUAUGCUUCGCAAUAAGCAAGACAUAGCAUUUUUCAGCCAGGAACGUGACUGGCGACGUCUUCCCACAGAUAGGGGUAACCAAGCCAAUUUUCGAGGUCGACAGUUACAUCUUGGUUAGCUAUGCUUUAUGGUGGUUGCUGCUCGGGCCUCUAGUUAUCUACAAUAGAUGAAUGUUCUCGAGAUGGGCGUGUCACACGAGGCCUCUAGCAUGUCAGAUGAGCACCGGCGUGAGUUCAUGAGUUGGGAGGUGAAUGGGUGCACGGCUGCUGUGUGCUGCCGUACGUGGUUUCGUGGCGGCGCCUACGUCGAGGUUGGAAAUACUGGGCAGCGAUGGCCUCUACCGUGAUGAGCUGCCAUGCAUGCCGGUGACGAGUAACUGACUGUCCCAUGAUAGUCUGAUGUGGCAUUUGACAACGAGGUGCUCGCGGCGGAGCACAACAUUUCCCGGUUAGACUGAGGCUCUCCCCCGCUCGUCUUUUCCGACUCCUCAGGGCUGUCCAGUUAUAAAAGAACGAAAAUCACAGAUGGAAAAACACCACUAGGAUCUGUUACUUGAACUUGCCGAAGUUACAAAGAGGUGAAAUCAGAGCAGAGUCCUUGAUAGUUAUGGUACGUGUUGUAGAGGCGUCUGUACGGCAAAGGCCCACACGUCUUAUUGUUCUCUAUGCUACACAGGUAUGAAUCCUUCUGGAGGCAGAUGAGAAACUUUGCUUCGCGGAACAAUCACAGUGUCCAUUACUAGGAGCUGUUUUCACACUAGACGGUAUUAUCCUGAUGUCUUCUAUUCUUAAGCUAGGAUUCUCUUCCUGGUCUUAUCCUGCUGCAGGCAGAUAAGAACUUUUGCCUCGCAGUCUUAUCAUUUUUCUUGCAUUAUUCAGCCUAACAAAUGGCGGAGAAGAGAAACAUACGCAAGUGAUUUGUGAAAUGUGUAUAUAGCUUCACAUGCUACUAGUGGUAUAUAUAUUGUAAACAAUACACAUCUUGGUAGAUGUAAAUAUUUAUUUUGAAAACACUUCAAAUAUACAAGCAUUCUAUAUAAUUUGUGUCUCCCAUACUGACAGUGUAGAAAGUUAGACUCCACACGCUCAAAUGAUUAGACUAUAGUAGCGGCAACAAGAGAGACUGUGUUCAAAACAUGAUCUCUGAAAAGUAUUUUAUAAAGCACAUUAAACUAGUAAUUAAGGAUCCAUAUUUCAUUUAAUAGUGCAGAUAGGUGCUAUUAAGACACAUCUAUGGCACACCCUAGCAUAUGUGCGAUGAAGGCCAGCACACUACACACUUGGUAGAAAAAUAAAGCCGUGUGCCUGAAAGUGAAACGUGUGUGAUGGCAAACACAUCGCGCAGGAUUGGGAAUGAAAAACUGUGUGCCAUUCUUUGCACAUAAUUCUUCUCAAAGAACCGUGAGCAAUUAACUGAAAUGUUGCACACGUAUUGGCAAAAUGGAUUGUAUGUUCUGCAUAGCACACAGUUGUGCUGGAAAAAAUGUAUUUGAUUUUGUGAACUACCCCACACAUAACUUUUUGGUUCAUCAUGUGCGCGUUAGUACAGAUCCUUAAUUUUGACUAAUCAUGUGAGACAUUGGAUAUAUAUUUACUGUAGCAAGCAGUUGCACAUAAGAAGUCGUGUGUGAUAACGGUCACAUGAUUUCAAUAAACAAAAUUAUUCCCUGCUGCAUGUUGGCCUCCACAUGUAAUAGCCGCGCGAAAUAUUUAAAAUAUAAAAACAGUAAACUAAAAAGUAAUAAGGUUCGUUGAUUACGAAUUGAAGAAAAUAUUUAUAAUUUAUAAUAUGAUAUAAAAUCAAUCAUCUAUGACUCUGCAUGCAUGCCAUCGUUAUGGCCGCAGCGGUGCGACACCACAAGGUCAUCAAAAUCGAGGCCCGCGACCAGCUGACCGGAGACUGAGCUACAAUUUUGUCGCGCUCGUUGCCGUUGAUGAAAACAAGUGACCUAUGAAUCUUGGUGGCUUCUAGUGUUCAUGAGUAUGCUGUAAUAACACAUGGAGGAAUGGGGUGCUGGACAUCAAUACGUGCAGCGGGCAUGGCGGCUAGCGGUGCUCAGGCUGGUGGGGAUGGCAGUUAGCGGAAUAAAUCGACAGGAUUAAAUACAAGGGGCGAGAAAGAGCUCAUCGCGGUCUUACCGGGAUGGUGACAACCUCGGGGAAGCUCGGAUGACAGUGAAUCAAGGACUAUAGUUGGCGGGCAGAGGUAGCACAUAUGGCGCUGAUGGUGGCGUUGUACCCUCAAAAUGGGCUUAGAACUUAGGAAAACUACUUCUUUGUGCAAUUUUACCUUGAAAUUUGAAGGGGGAUGUCUGUAUGGUCUUCAUGUCGUAAGCGACCCAGCGAUAAGCGGCUACGAUAGCAUGUCAGGCUCACACAAGAGAAGAAACAAUGGAAAAAGAGCAAGGACAAAUCAUCCUAGAGAGGGAAUUAAUGGAGACUGUAACCGUGAAUGUAAACGAGCUCUAAUAGAGCCGGUUCCAAAGGCGUUGGAAAGAUCUACGGAAAUUAGGAUACAAAGAGUUCUAAUUCUAGAGAUUGGGAUGAUUUUACACACACGCACACACCCGUGAAAACGUGCGGAAAGUCUGAGCCCGAGAAAAGGCUGUUUAUGUUAGAUUGAUCUCUCAUCACGUGGGCCCAACGGCCCAACGGGCCUUGAUCUAUGCGCCCUGAUCGGGGGCGCCCAACCGAUUAUGGUUGGUGGGUCCCUGUGACCCGCGCUAUAUAAAGGAUGGUGGGAUGCCGGCGCACGAACUACGAGAUUCGUCGCAGUCACACCCCUACCGACAUACCUAUCCGAUCUAGGUUAAGCGCGGUGCUCACGGGAAGCUCCAGCUACGCCUAACCCUUCUUCUCCAUCACCGCCGUCGCUACAACACCGAUGAAGACCGGUGCGAGCUCAUCCGGCUCAGGACAAGGUAAAUACACGGGUUUGUACCGGAUCUAUCUAUGCCUAGUAGAUCCACGGCAUCAACAGUUUAGACUCUCAAAAAGGGCUCAAAAAGUGUGGAAAACUAUUUGUUUGUGCAAUUUCACCUCAAAAUUUGGAGGGGCACUACGUCUGUAAGGUCUUUAGGUAAGAAGAACCCCACCGACGAGCGUCUAUGAUAAGAUGUUACAAUCACAUUACAGAAGAAAAGAAAGAAAAAUACAAUAAAAUGAUCGGCCUUGAGAGCGAAUUGCUGGAGACUGUGAACGCGAAUGUGGACGAGCUCUUGAGCCAGUUUGAAAGGUGUUGGAAAGAUCGCGUGAGACUAGGAUACAAGGACAUUAAUUAUCGCGAUCUAGAUGAUUUUAGACACACGAAAAUACCCCCGGGACACAUGCGGAAUGACUCGAACCGAGGAAAUACUAUUUAAACACUCGAAAAGGUCUCAGAAGAUUGGAAAACUAUUUACUUGUAUAAUUUCUCCUCAAAAUUUGAAGGGGCAAGACAUAUAUGUAUGUUCUUUAGGUCGGAAGUGCCCCACCAAUGAGCGGCUACGAUAGGAUGUUAGACCCACGCAAUAAAAGAAAUGGUGGAAAAUAGAAUACAAUAAUAUCCUAUGAAUGUAACGGGUUUCCAGUUUUCCCACGGGACCAAUGUUUGUUGUGGCGGGAGCACAUGUCACAAUUAUUUGGGUUCCCAUGGCCGGGAGCACCGUUCACCCGCUAGUGUUAUUUUUCACACCGAAAGCCCUCCUUUAACCGCGCUCCUACCAGCAACCGCCGUCGGCCCGAUGCUAUGGCCUCCCUUUCCCUCGAUCUUGUACCCGCCGCCACCCCAAUUCUAUCUUCUCCCUCUCCCUGGAUCCCGUAGCCGCCGCCUCCCCGAUUCUAUCAUCUCCCUCUCCCUCGAUCCCCGUCGCUAUACAUCCAUCCAUCAGUCGCCGCAAUGCUGUCUCCGACGCUCACCCGCAACACCUAGCCAUGGUUAGGCUUUGAGUUGCGACUUUUUGUCCUUCGUCCGCGCAUCUCCGGUGGCUCCUCUUUGCCACACACAACGGCCGCUGCAUCUUCUACAAACAUUUAAGCUGAACAAUCCUAACUCUCAUCCCCUAACUCUCAUCCCUUCUCUACUCCGCGCCAUUGGUUGUGCCGAAUGUGAUAUAGGGUUAGUAGGAUACUAGUCAUCCAAAUUAUUAAGUAUAUGGACAUACUCCAAAUUAGGAUUGAAUCCUUAAGACUUUUAUUGAAAAUAAUAGUUAUUUAUGCGAGGCACGUAAAAAAAAUGAUUUUGUUGGUUACUAUGUCAAUAAUAAAACUUGAGAAUGGUACUAUACCUCAAGGUCAUUUAUUUGUGACAUGGAGUGAGCACAGACUAGCAUCGGACAAAACUUUAAGUACCAUAUAAAGAUAAGUACAGUGAACUUUAAAUACCAUAUCACAAUUUCCAUAUUUUACAAAUAAUAUCACGCUCGAUUAAUUUCUGUGGUUCUAGCUAUUUAAUUGGUUGAAACACAUUGUUUAAGAAACAUUUCAAUUAAUUUUAAUAGUUUACGAUAUAAGGAUCAAUGAUAAAUAUUUUCUUAAUGACAUGGAUUAAUAUAUGUGUAUCAUGCACAACUAAGAAUGGGUUCCUCCGCAAGCAGCCGGGCCAAGACAAUGCCGGCGGCAGCGGACUACACCACCUCCUAUGAUUCUACAAAUCCCUCCCUUGCCUCCCGCUUAAGCAGUUCAGAGGUAAAUUUUGGAUGGAGCUGAAGUUAAUUUGAUGUUGUUAUCAUAUAGAUGGAUGAUGAUACAUGAAUGUUCUUUAUUCGUAAAUAUAAUCAUCUCAUGAAGCGUGAACAUUUAAUUGGCUUUCUCCAAUACAUAGCUUCAAAAGAAUGCAGAAAAUAUCAUGAACCGUUGAUUAAUUUCUGUUUUGUGAGAUUUCAGAGACUCAAUGGUUCAUUUUUCAGCAGAAGUCAUGCCCAAUUUUUAUUUCCAUCAUUGAACUUAUAUAAUUAUUCCAUAACAUGAACUUAGGCAAUGGACGAAGGAGGUCCCUUCUGUGGCGACAUGAGCCUAGGCGCAUGUUACAUAGUUCACAUAACUCGCAGUGAGUUAUGUGUCGAUCUUCAAGACGACUUUAUGAAGGGCGGUAUGUUCCAUUUAAUUGCCCAAUUGUCUAAUUAUUCCAAAAUUUUCUAAUUUAUGUUUACCUUUUAUCAUACUCAGCGCAUCCCUUGCUGGGGAAGGGAGGAUUUCAUGUCUGUGGAUAAGGAGUGGACGAUUCAGUUCGACAUGAUGCGCCUUAAGAAUGGUAUUAUAUUAACCCUCAAUCUCACCAAAGGGGGAGGGAGGACGUAUUUCUAUGGUCAAAAUUAAAUGAACAUUGCCACAAAAUUACGGAUGCAAGCAGGGAGGUCGUUCUUACUUUUUCUUCAUGAAUUUCAGGAGGGUCAUCAGGGCGACAACAAGAUCUAUAUGUGGUACGGUAUCCCACAGUCAUUGUAUUACCGCAUAGGAGGAUACCUAUGUCCACAGAACCUGCGAAUACCGUCCUCUAGCUGAGAUUAAGAAGAUUAUUGGUGAGAUGAUGGAUUUAGUUUCAUGUUUUUAUGACGGAGCUUAAGUUAAUUUCAUGCUUCUUAUGUUACCUAUAUGCUUUUAUGUUGUAAAUAAGCAUGUUUAAUUUAUACACAUAUCCCAUAGGGACCCCCUUUAUGAAUACAACAAAUGAACGGGGAUUAUUAUAUGAUAACUUAUGCCCAUAGCCAAUAGGUGCUUGUUUACACGCUAAACAAUGAUCUCUCCUAUAGUACAUGGAGGUUCUUGAAUCGAUUCUGGCAGCGAUACAUACAUCUCUUAUAGAGUUACUCCAGAAUGACUCCCAAAUGAAUAAAAUAAACAAGUUAGAUUCACUCGUUGUUAAAUAAAACAUGAUACCCAUGUUAUGUACUAGUCGUCGUGCAUUCUCACCAGUUGAUAUUCAUCUUUUUCUCUGGUCCCAUACUUCAGAAGCGAGGGAAGAAUGAUAACAUGGGCGAGGGACCUUCCAUACAUGCAUCUAUUCUAGAGUUAUUCAUUUUUUCUAUGGUGCAUGUAUUCGUGGGUUCAUGGCUUUUUUUGUUCUUUUGCAGGUGAUGUCAAAUCGGGAAAGAAUGAUUGAGUAAAAGAGCAACAUCUGCCAUAUUCGGCCAUUUGAUUCUUCCUACUUUCUUUCUUAUCGGUUACGCACAUUGAUGAUCUUUGUGUAAGUCUAUCUAAAUUGUAAUUUGAUGCUGAUGUAUGUAGGUUGGAUGAUGAUCAUGUAUGUAAAAUGGAUGCCAACUUAUAUGCUAUAUAUAUGUACAUAACAAUAUAUAUACAUGACCUGUAUUCUGUUGUACGCAUAGUAUAGUACAUGCAUAUUUUAUAAAAACCAGAAAUUAUAAGCAGUGGGGGCAAGAACAGGUGCUCGCCAAUGGAGUAUGUGCUACGAUGCAACCUUGCUCUCAUCCACCCCACUAGUAGUGGCGGGUUCAACAUUUUGCCUGUCACAUAAGACGAAUUAGCAAUGGCGGGCCACCGCUCGCCACUGGUGGCCUAUUAGCAGUGGCAGGAGGUUAGCGCGGUGGGUUGCCCUGGGCCCCUAGCCCGUCAGUGAUGGUUAUCUUGCACCCGCUACUACUAGGCAUUCCUGCAGUAGUGAAGCGCCCCACCGAUAAGCGUCUAUCAUACUAUGUUAGGCUCACAGUAGAUAAAAAAUGGAUGAAUAAUAGAAGAAAAUAAUUGUCCAAGAGAGAGAAUUCAUGGAAACUAUCAACGCGAAUGCGAAUGAACUCCGAUUGAGUCAGUUUCAAAGGUGUCGGAAAGAUCUCGGGAAACUAGGAUACAAGGACUUUAAAUUUUGCAAUCUGCAUGAUUUUACACACACACACACACAAUCUGAGCACUCGUGUGGUAAAUUUCGGACCCAAAAAUGCCCGUUUAGACCCUCAAGAAGGGCUCAGAAGUUUGGAAAACUAUUUGUCAUUCUACCAUAUUCAACAAGGAUAAAAUGCAGUCGCAUGCUGACCUAGCCUAAUCAAAGAUCGUGUGUUUCCACCAGAGUCUAGAUACUCGUCGUCAAAGACGUCUCUCCCAUCACUAUUGCACCUCAGAGGAGAUAUCAGAAGACUUAGAUGUCCAAUACCGCAUUGCCUCCCGUCACUAUUGCACCUCCUUGAAUCUACCAACAACAUGUUGACUUGUGGCUUGUGUAGGAGUAACCAUGUGUAGCACGUGCCGACGGCAAUCAUGACUUGGAGUCUCUGCAUGAGUCAUCAUGCGCACCUACCGGCGACAAGCUUGACUUGACCUAUUUGGCACAACGGGACAUCCAAUUUCCUAACAUAGGAGCACAUAUGUUCAUUAAACCGUAGCUAACAUGCCCGAAUUUUGGCCAUUCAUUACAUUUAAACAUUUUACAUUAGCGAAAAACAUUUCGCAUUAAAAGUAGAAUUUGAAGAAAUUUUCCAAGGCCCAUGUCAUUUGUGUCAUUCCAAUAAACUGUUUGAAAAUAAGGUAAAAAUCGAUUCUUGUUUUUUAUUUGGAAAAUUCUUUUUCAAAUAUGCAUUUAAAACCCGAGUAAUUUGCAAACAUUUUUUACAUGAGAAGUGAUCCUCGCGGAUUUUCAAACUUGUACGUCGUGGAGUACAAGUAUGAUUGCAGAAUCAUAUUGUACAACUUGUUGCAGAAUAUGUUUUUUCUGUAUCAAUGGAAGAAUUAGGUAAAGCUUUAUUGGAUCGUUCAAUGGGUUUCCAAGAUCGAUACAUUACACGAUGUUCAUAUUGAUUCAUGGUAAACAUAUUAGAAGACACAACUAAUAAUGGGCCAAAGCAUGUCUCUGAGAGAGAUCUACGUAUAAUCUAGACAAAAAGCCAAUCAAAGGGGACGCGGUAUUGAAGGUAUAGGGUCAUACACCCCGGCUGCUAAUAAUGGCAGUUGCAUGACUCUUUAGGCCUCAUGGCAACAAACUAGCUACAUGAUACAAGCUAGACACACCUAUCAGCUAGUACAAGAACGAGGUUGUGUACUUGGUCUGCACAGCAAUCUUCAGUUUAUGUUUUUAGAUAUUGUUGAUGGCUAGACUGGACGAAAUUAGUUUUAGCGCAUUUUCAAGAGAAAGUGUUUUAACAUUAGAACAGCACUCUGUGUGGUACAGCAUACCCACUUCAUUCCAAGUGUAUGAUUCCUGAUGUCUCAUAUUCUCAAAAUUAGACAUUGUUACUUCCUUGCAUUGUUUAUUUUAUCAAUUGGUUCGGAUAGGGAAGAAAAUUACUAUUAAAAUAAGUCAAGAACUAAGAGAGAGAACCCUAUCAAACUGUGGUGCUAUAAAUGGGCAGUGAACAACACAUGGUGAGGUAACAGAGAAAAGUUAUCUCGUGUCAAUCACAAUGACCCUCUAGGACAGAAAAUAUAUCUAAAAUGGGAGAGAUUCAUCUGGUGGAACCCACAUUCCUGUUUGUCUUGUCUACAUGUUAUAGCCCGCAGCAGCAGCCUCCCCAAACAUUAUCCACUACGGAGCUCUUUUGAUUUUCUUGUUCCCAUAGUUAUCUGUUCGAGAGAAGUAUUGAUAUCUUGUUCACAUAAAGCCAUGCUAGUUUGAUUUUCCAUCUGCCAAAAGGUAUGGUAAACAGAAAAAUCGAAACAUUGUUAAUUGUGUGGUACCUUGUGUCACCCUGGUCAGCAAGGGGCACGUUUGUAUCUCAUCGCAGCAAGAAAAAUAACAGGCGUCCACUGGGUCUAACAAAACUAGGAAAUUCAGAGAAAGCGUACGUUUUUUUUUGUUCAUUUUUCCCUUUUUGUUUCCUCCUUUGUUGUUGUUGUUGUUAUUGUUGUUGUUGUUGUUGUUGUUGUUUAUAUCUCAAAAUAUUAUAUAAUAUAUACACACACGGAAAAUACAUUAUGUAACUGUGUGUAUUUACAUCAACGUGUCAUAUAAAAUCAUGUGGUGAAAGUACAUCUGAUAACUGGGUGUAUUUACAUCCAAAUAUUUCAAAAAAUAUAUUUACUCAAUUUAAAAAAAUGUUCAUCACCCAUUAAAAAAUGGCCAGGAAAAUAUAAGGUUUGCUUGUGCAAUUUUAAAAAGUAUCAUACCAUUCAAUGAAAUGUUUACCAUGCUUAGAUAAAUGUUCUCCAAACGAAAUCAUGUUCAUCAUAUAUUAGUAAAAUGAUCAUGAAACAAACAAUUUUUCUGCAUAAAUUUAAACAGAUAUUAUUCCAAUCAAAAAAGUAACCGAUGCACGCUUCUCCAUUAGCGAGGCAUAGCAUUUUUCAGCCAUGAACGUGAGUGGUGGCGUCUUCCUACAGAUUGGGCUAACCAAGACAAUGUUCGAGGUCGAAAAUUAUAUCUCGGAUAGCAAUGCUUUAUGGUGGUUGGGCCACUGGUUAUCGAUAAUAGACUAAUGUUUAUGGGAUGGACGUGUCACACGAGGCCACGAGCAUGUCAGCAUGAGCGCCGACGUGAGGGCGCUCAUGAGCUGAGCGUCCCAUGACAGGCUGACGCGACAUUCGACAACAAGGUGCUCGUAACGAAGCAUAGAAUCACUGGGUCAGACUAUGUGGCUCUCACUUUUUUUUCUCACUGGUCACUCCUCAGGACUAUCCAGUUACAACAGUGCGAAAAUCGCACCAUGAAAAAGCGCAACUCACACCUCUUCGUUGAACUCACCAAAGUUACAGAGAGAUUAAAUAGGAGCCGAUUCCCUCAAACAUGUCGUAAGUGUUGUACAGGCGGCUGUACGCAGCAAGUUACUAGUGGUAUAUAUAUUGUAAACAAUACACAUCUUCAUAGAUGUGAAUAUUUAUUUUGGAAGGUAAACACUUUCACCCGACGCGUCGGCCGAAUCGUUCAGCCAGUCGCGCGCGGGCCGCGCGCCUCGCUGUCAGAUGUAUGCAACAUUUUUUCAUUAAAUUUGCUGCAACCAUGUGUUGUAGAGGCGGCUGUAUGGCAAAGGGCGCAUGUCUCACUGUUGUCUAUGCUACACAGGUAUGAAUCCUGAGGCAAGCAGUGUUGGAGUUGCCCAGGAGAUCGAUUUAUAAACACACGCAAGUACACAGUUGACACACCUACACUUUUCCGUGAUACAAAAUGGAGAAGAAGAAGACAAACACGAAGAGCUUUUCCGGCACACGCACUUGUAUCUUUUCUGUAUUCCUCAUCUCUCACUCUGGAUGUAACGCAGUUACAUGGCUUAAAUAGCCGAAUCACUUGGCUAUCACAAAGCCACUACUCCACUACCUUUUUUUUAGACACACUACUCCACUACCCACACACACACACACGCACACGCACACAUGCAUGGUCAAGCCCACAAACUGCUUGAUCCACUAAUCGCUACCACUAGCCGGUAUGUAGGCCGCAAGUAACAUCGCCUCACACGGCUACACGAUUCAGCCGGUGAGCCACUCCUUUGCUGAUUACAUAUGGUCCUUAACUUAGGGGGUGUUUGGUUACAGGAAUUUAUUAGGGACUUAGAACUUAUAAGUCCCUUUAAGUCUCAUCUAAACCAAACAGGAGGGACUUAUAGAGACUUAAAGUAGGUAUUUGGGACUUAUGAAAUAAGACUCUCAAGGAGAGUUAUGAGGACUUAUAGUUGUAAUAUGGUCUUUUAGUCCAUGUUAAGUCCUAUCAACCAAACAGAUAGGAACUUUUUAGGAACUUAGGACUUAUAAGUUGAGACUAAAAAAAGUCCUAGGACUUAUGAACCAAACAGGACCUUAGCCUAUCUAACAGCUAGAUUUAACUAACAAUGCAUGCAACUAACUAACGCUACUAGCUUUGCAUGCGUGCAUAUGGGGGCAACUUCUAGUGUUACAACAUAGCUACAAAUUAAACAUGCUCUAACACUAAUAACAAGAUUAGUUUUAACAUUCACCUCCAUAAUCUUGAUAACUUAUUUCUCUCUUCAAGCCCGUGGUCGUUGAUGCCGACAUCUCACCGGUGCAACACGGAGACGGCCGUCAAUGCCAUCUUGUCAUGCCGAUUGUCGUCGUCUCCGUUUGCAUCAUGAGAGCCACACCUCCUACGCCUUCACCACGAGCGUGCCACGCGAUACACUCGUUGUCUCAUAUUCGCCAUCGGUGUUGCAACUCACCGAUGACUCGCCUCCAUCUUUGCCACGGUGCCGCAACUCGCUGAUGACUCGCCACGAUGUUGUCGAUGAUGACGCAGCUUCUUGCCGACUUGCACAUGGUCACAUGGACGGUGAAAUCCUCAUGGCAAUGGCCUCUGCAAUAUGGCCAUGGCCUCUUUGCCGCCGGUGACGCAACUUAUCGGGCAGCAUACCUUUUCCCAUCGCUCGUGACGCAGCUCAACGAUGAUCGAUGGAGACACGCACCGGCCGCUCGCAGUAUGACGCCGCCAACAACGUCCACCUUGCACCACCGACGUCCCUCUCACAUGGAGUCCGCCGCGUCGCCACCAUUGCCUCAGAUCGACAAGGCUCUGAAUACCAAAUCUUGAGGCUGCCCAAGGAAGAAGAAGACUCACACACACACAAGGCCAAGGAAGAAGAAGAUACACACACUUUUGGCACACGCACAUAGUGCCUUUUCUCUUGUAUUUCUUCUCUCCACGCACUCAUAAAUGGAUUACAUGUAUGGGCUUAAAUAGCCCGACUCACAUAGGCUACACGCAGCCACUAAGGCUGGUCACAAUGGGGAGUAACAUAAGGUAGGAACCUACACACUUUUCUAGACUAUGUUUCUACCUCCACAAUGGGGAGUAACAUGUAUGUAGUGUCAUGCAACAAUGCAUUUAUUAGGCUAUAGACUCAUUGUUUCUUGGAGUGUGUGAUGUUCCGGUAACUUAGCUAGUUACCACAAGCACCUCUCUCUUUAUUAAAUACGUACCACAUAAGCAAAGUUGUAUUGGAGUGUGUGAUGUUACUGCUAAGUUCCUCCCCAUUGUGACCAGCCUAACCCCAUUACUACUAUGCACACACACACACACACCUCUACAUGCAUGCACCCACUCAACGGCCAGCCACACGCAUUGGCUUGAUACGGUAGUUACUCAACUGACCACUAACUCACACGUACAAGCUUGAGUCAUCUCCAAGUUUUCUGCGGAACAUGGUUAAGAGCUCACGCAGCCGGCGCAUGCCAUAACUGAUUGUGCCCGCUUCUUUCUCCGCCUAUUUCUGCUAGCAACUCGGCCGCUCGGACUCCACGAAGCUUGAUGCAUGCAGCUAACAUAUAAAUGCAAACUACUAACAAGCCCAACGACACACACUGCUGACUUGCAUAUACGCAUAUGAUCCCUUCUCUUCGUGAUUACAUGCCCGCAGCCAAACUAGUGUUGGACGUGAUAACUUGCAUGACACUAAUAAAUAAAUAUGAUGAAAACCAAAACAACAAAGUUAACUCCAACAAGCAGAUACAGACCUUUGCCUAACGGAAGAAACACAGUGUCCAUUACUAAGCGCAGUUUUCACACUAGGAGGUCUUACCCUGAUGUCUUCUAUUCUUAAGCUAGGGUUUCUCUUCUUUUUCCCUUGCAUUCUUUUUGCCUAACAGUUGGCGGAGCAGAGAAACAUACCCAAGUGACUUGUGAAAUGCGAAUAUAGCUUUGACAUGUUAGUAGUGGUAUAUAUAUUGUAAACAAUGCGCAUUUUGGUAGAUGUGAAUAUUUAUUUCUGAAGCACUUCAAAUAUACAAGCAUCCUAUAUAAUGUGUGUCUACCAUACUCACAAAGUUAGACUGAACACGCUUAGAGCAUCUCCACCUACCCCCAGGAGAACUUGUCAGGCUUGGUUUUAGGCUCGGCGAUGCUUUUUGCCGAAAAACAGCCCAGCCACGCCGCUAGCGCAUCCCCAGGACGUCAAAACAGCACUGGGAAAUCUAGUAGAAACCCAGCGCGGUGGGGGUCUCUUGGGGGCGCUGGCGGAAGUUUUGGUGAAUCGUGUCUGCCCACAUGUCUGUUUUCUUGCCCACUUAAUCAUUUCCCUCACAAACUUUUGAUUUGGGUGGGGUUUGGCUGGAAGGAUGCCCUCCCAUGAAGUCCUAUUUCGGUCGGAUGAAGCAUUUGCCCCUUCCCUCCCAAAGACACCAACUUUUUUGGUUUGGUGGUGUUCUUGGGGGUUCCAAUGGCUGGAGAUGCUCCUACAGCUCGAAUGAUUAGACUAUAGUAGCGGCAACAACAGAGGAUGUGUUCACAAUAUAGUCUCUUAAAAGUAUUUCAUAAAGCGCGUUAAAAUAGUAAGGAUCCACAUUACAUUACACUAGUGUAGUUCUGUGCUAUUAAAACACCCCUAUCGCACACCCUAGCAUAUGGGCGACCAAGGCAUCACAUAUGUGACAAAAGUAAAGCUGUUAGCUUAAAAAUGGAAUAUGUGUGAUGGACAACAGAUCGCGCACGAUUGGGGAUGAAAAAUUGUGUUCCAUUCUUUGCACGUAAUUCUUCUCAAAGAAGCGUGGGCGAUCAACUGAAAUAUUGCACAGGUAUUGGCAAAUGAAUUGUGUGUUCUGCAUAGCAGACGGUUCUGCUGGAAAAAAUUGUAUGUUAUUUUGUGAACUAUCCCACAAACUUGGUUCAUCAUGUGUAAUUUAGAACAUAUGCUUAAUUUUUGACUAAUCAUGUAAGAUCGUUGGAUAUAUGUUUACUACCGCAACCAGUUACGCAUAAGAACUUGGAUAUAUACUGCAGUGCGACACCACAAGGUCAAGGGGAAGGAGACAUGUUCUCAUUUCAACGAUCUACAUGUACAAAUCGUAACUAGUGUAGGCGAACAUGGCCAGAUAAGUGAACUGCUUUCGACUCUAUCUUUCCACCCAGAUCUUGUGCCAGCUAUGCUUCUCGAUGCCGUCUUUCAUGCCGGCGUUGGACAGAUGAAUGAUGUUGGCGGCGAGGUGAACCAAUGAGUCAUGUCUCUUCCUCUUGUUUAGGAUGUUCUAUUGCUUCUGGAUAUCGUUAGUAUUCGGGCAUGGCCUGGCCGAAUUACCGAGCACAUGUGCAUCGUUGGUGGUGUCCACAAAGUAUCGUAGUAUUGUAAUUGUGGUAGACGAGGAUGUCAUAAGCCAGUUAUAACUGGGAGUCGACGACCUUCUUUUUUUUUGCGAGACGGGAGUCGACGACCUUGGGAUCAUAGGUGGGACAUGUGCAGACUUAUAUGAGGUCGAUCACGUAAGCCUACCUCGUAUGUCUCCUCCCUCCGGAUUCACUCAAACGUGGCCGUGAUAGACUCCACCGACUCCGGCUCGUUGUUGUGCAACAUUGUGAGGACGGUGGCAUUGUACGUAUGACCUCACGGUGAACUCCUUGGUGAAGUGCUCACACACAUUCACUCCCGGGUUGUCAUUGUAGAAGCCUCCAUCCCCUUUACAU